rnacentral:lncRNA from 1 species
CAUGGGUUCUCAUUUUUUUAGUUUCUCAUUUUCGAACAAGAUCAUUGCCUAAAUGGUUUGCAUAUAUGUAGAUGUUUUUCCAUGUUGUAGAGGCUAUCAAAAUGGUUAGUGAGCAAGGCCAGUUUAUGUUAAAGUUCAUAGAAUCCUUGCGGCCAUACAUUGAACCAUGCUUAAUUUUACUGUCCUGUUGUACUGAAACUUUAAUUAAACACUACCACGAUUGAACCCACGCGGCCUGGUAACUUUGAAUGAACUAUAUACUCCUUAUCUGCCACAUCAUUGCUAUACAUAGCUUCUCCUUGAAACAUAAAUCAUCUGGUUCUACCCAUUAACCAUUAUGGACCUAGAAGCAAAGUAGCACCUAUAAAUGUCCAUCCUUUCAGGAUGCUUGCAUAGAAGAGGUAACAUACAGAACAGAUCGAGAGGCAAGUUCACAUCCGUGCAUGGAUGUAACCUACCAAGAGCCAUGUGAAAUCUUGAUACGUAGGAAGUUGUGAACACGUAUCAGUUGCUCGGCGCUGGCUGCUAAUAAGGUAUUAACUGUUAGUGAUCAGAAGUGGGAAUGAGUGGCACCGGAAAACAGUGUGUCACCUCCACAGCUCCAGCUUGGUUCUAUAUAUCCAUGGGGUAAAAAUCAAGCCUUGUAUUGUAACCGAGGUGCUAUUGCUCGCGCCCAGCCUUCAGGGUGGCGCCUCUCCUGUGUGCUGAUGGCAGUUGGUGCCAAUGGCUGCCAUGCGUCCGAGGAUGACUGUACUGGAUGGCCGUCGCGAUUCAAAGGAAUUGAGGUGGGGAGACACUGGCAAGCGAUCUGGCAAAUAGUGCGAGUGUGCGACAGCAACCAUGCUUGCGGCGGACUUCUGAAUCGCAAACGGUGCGCCCGCGGUGACUGGUGCCAUCUCUUUGAUAUCAGUACAUGUGGCUAUUCCUGAGCUUCCAGCAUCUCUUUUAAGCGACGUUUUGUUGGCCUUGUCUAUUGCUAACUGAACGAGCAGCAUGUACAUUUGAUUGGCAAAUUAAACUACUUUUCACAACAAUGCAUGGUGUAACCAUGAUAAAAGAUCUAGAAUAAAUUCUGCUUCACACAAUGGUGUAACCAGAACAAGGGUUAGAGUAGAACGUGUGCACUCCUUAUUUGAUACUGGAAGAUGAGUUAAUUCUUAUCUUGACCUUGAAAAGUUUUCCCUUCCUAAUAUGACACCAACUUCUAACUUUCAUUCCAUAUUUGACAUUUCCAUCACUUGUGUGAUGAAGCGAUCUCCAAAUCACCUUCAAAAAUCAUGAAACUUUUUGUAGUGAUACAACAAAUCAAUAUAAGCCCAUAUUUAAUCAAAGGACACAUAUACCUUUACAGUCUUAAAAUUAAAAUUCACAUAAUUAGACUACCACCUUUAUAAGUGAUGAAAAUGUUUGAUGGUUGUUUUAUUCGACUUAUGUGACAAAAGUAAUGAAAAUGUCAAAUAAGGAAUAAAAGAUAUAGAACAACUCGAUGUCAUAUAUGGGAUGGAAAAUUUUUCGGUAUUAAGAAAGGAAUUGAGUUAUCUUCUAGUGUCAAAUAAGAAUUUUUCUCUUUUUUCACAGUGGAAGCAGUUCUCCUUUUGGUUGUUCCACGAUCCAAAAAAGUUUGCUGACCGGAGCUGGUAAACAUAACGGAUUAAGCAGUUACGCUGCCCAUUUUGACAGAAGGAGAAGUCGCCCAGCGCAGCUGCACAGUUGUGUUUUUUACUUUUUUUUACAACCUAGCUCCACGUAUGCAAUAAUGAUUUUGGUUUAUCCCUGUCCCGCACCAGCAGAACCCAAUAAAAAUAAACUGCACAAGCAUUGUUUUCUUGCAGUGAAGGGAUAAAUAAAGAAGAAAAGAGAGGAUAAGGAUAAAAGAAAAGGGUUUCAUACUUAUUUUCGAAACAAAUUGUAUGAAUUCAAAUAAAUUUCAACCCGAAUCUUAAGGAUCUAAUCAAACAAAACCAAACACAUCAGCAUGAAUGCAACAUAGUUUAUACCAUAUGAUUCCUUAAUUUGUUUUAGAAAAUAGCUGUUUCCAUAUGCUAAAUAUAUUGAUAGUUAUACAAGUGUUGUGCAAAUUUUAGAAAAUGAGAAAACUAUUGUAUUUGUCAGCUCUAUGUUCACAUCACAAAAUUACAAAUUUUGGAGAUGUGAUAACGCAUUUAUAUAUAGGCUACUCUGAAAUGGUACACUCCUAGUUGGUUGCCGGCUUCCAGCUUAUACAACCAUAUAUAGAUGCUACAUAUACAAUUGAGAAGCAAGUUUGGUAACCAUGCAGAUAUUUGUAAGUGAGCAGGGAAGAGAGAAAAGCCGUGGUGAAAUUAUUUUAUCAGCAACUUCAGUUUCGGUGCCCAGCUACUUGUGGAUGUAUUGAGUCUCCACUAUUCGCCUAAAAGAGAAUAUAAUUUAAUUUAGCGGCUCUUUCUAAGAGACGUGAAUGCAAAUAAAAACAUCCCCUGGAUAAGUUUUGCGGCCCGGAUAAAAGGGACAUUAUGUACCACAUGACUGACUAUGGUAGGGAUCGGAGUGUACCCAUUUGCUAUGCAACGAGCAGGUGAUAGGAUAGAGAUACUGUGAUUGAGAGGCAUCGGAAAAGUGGAAAACCCUUGUUGAUUUGAUCUCAGAGCACCGCACGCUGUCGACGUGCGUCCCGCUGCCACCAUUGGAACACCAGCCUGCUGUGAAUAGCUGUGUUGCGGCAUGAGAAGGGAUCCCGACGGGGUGGCCUGGAAUUUCAAUUUGAGGAAGAGAAGAGACUGUUGCCACUGGCAGUGCAACUGGUACUUAAUUAAGACAAGUGCUCUAAUCGUCUUUCUGCUAAAACUAGAACAAAUUCUAAUGCAUUUGAUAGUUAGGUUAAUUACGAUAUGAGUGAUUUUAAUAGGGUCCUCCUAAAACUGGAGUAAUCUGAUUUUAUGAUUGAUCAAGUUGAAAAAACCGAGUUUUUCCCCUUCAAUUCGAAAUUCAAUUUUUUUUGUAUUUCUGAUGCAUAAAUUUCCUACAUGUUAAAGCCAGGUCUUCUUUUCUAUGCUUACCUGGUAUUUUGUAAACACUAGGUCAGUUUCCAAAUUUUUUUGGAAUACCUCUUUCAUAAUUUGACUAUACAUACAUAUCAUAUCAAGGCAUGUACAUAGGCAUAGACUUUGUUCGCAUUACAAACUUAACAGCUUUUGUAUUUGUGAAUCAUGUCCUGCACAAUAAGAGGAUGCACGUGCUUGGUUACUACUACAGCAGCCAGGCCACCUAGUGCGCCCUUGCUUUACUGAACGGUACAAAACAACUUCUGCAUUCCCGGCCAAAUCUUCGUACAGAACUCAUACAUGCAUAUGCUGACCAAAUUUUUUUCCCAUCUAAUUCCUGAUACCUCAUAUAUGCCCUAUAUCUCUCUUUAUAUAUGCAUUCCAUGUCUACAAGCAAUCUGCGUUCAUGACAAGGCCACAUCGCUUUGCGUUUGCCUCUCCCUUCCUUUCCCCGGAGACUGCUGCUUUAAACUCACUGCAACAAAACCGUUUAGCUCUAUGUACAAUCGUUGAUAUUGAGCAGGCCAUAGUGUGUACUUUAAGAAUGGGAGGCAACGAGGAAAUUCUUUUGAGACAUUCGCCACAACAAUGCCUAGCUAAUCGAUCAUGCCAGUGCUCGCAUCCCUGUACAACCUGAUCCUGAUCCUGCUGUGGACAACACAUGCAUCAAACUGAGCGCACCGCGGCUAUGCAGGGUGUGACAGUUGCCAUCACUAUUGAUGUUACCUUCACUUCUCUCAGGCAUGAAGUGUUGAUGAAGAUGGACUGGCCCAUGCUUCUGUAAGUGCUAUUUUCCCCUGCACUGAAUCUCAUCUUCUUCUUCUUCUUCCUCGCACCCAGUCGUUGUAAAUAUCGACACUAGUUGUGCAUAUAAACAAAAGCAACAAACAUAGUUACAAGGUUACAGCAACCAUGCGAACUGAUUUUGUGGCACAAGUAUCCUACCUUCAUUCUCUUUCUCUAUUGAUCUGACAAUUUUCCUCAUUAACAAUUUUCUAAUCCAUAAGAAUUAAUAGAGUUCACAAUGCAACUUGCAACUUCUGGGUGACCCUAUCUAAUAACCUGCAUGGCUGUGAGAAUGGGUGGCUUCAAGGAGGAGAGAAAACUCAGUGUGUGUCUGAUAUUCCGAGUGUUGGUGUUCGUUUGAUGAUCCGAACAUUUUGACAUGUACAUUGAUUUUCAACCACGUCAAGUGCAUGAUCUAUCCUUGCCUACUUUCGUAAGACAGAAAUAGAUCUCCAUGGUGUGGUAUAACGACGCUGGUCGGCUGGUGGUAGAGAGCUUGAGAUCAAGUGGUUAUGACAAAGAUGCCAGUUCAUGGGCACAAGGGCUAUGGUGUGUGAUGUCUGUGGGCAUGGGAGGUACGGUAGGGGCUGUGCCGCCGGUGAGAUGGGUUGAGAAGACGCUAGUGGUAAACAUGCUUGGAUCAACGGCUGAGAAAAGCGAUGCACGAGAUCUCACGGUUGAUAUUUUCAAGGCGAGUGCCCAAGCUUGGUGGCAGGAUUCGGUAUGUCGUAGAUAUCAGCCCUGUAGCUGGGGAAGGCAACAAAGGCAUACAGAUAGUUUAGAAUGGAUUCCUAUGAAUUUAUUUGCUGGAAAAACCCAAAUACUGCUCAUGAAAGCACUUAUGCUCUUGCUCAAUCACUCCAUACACGUGUGGCUCCUUUUAAGCUAUGACAAAUAAUGUAACAGAUAAUCUGAAGUCCUUGGCUAGAGAUCUUAAAGAAGUAUCCUUAAGCAUAUAACAAUAAAGAAUUUGUCUCACUCUGUAAUGGUUAUCGUCACCCCUAGAUCAAUAAUCCAAUAUGCACUGACAGAUCUGAACACCGGAGUGGAGGUUGGGUUGGAGGAGGAAGAUGGAGCUGUCGAAGAGGGGGUUCCUCUCCAUGGCAACGGAAGUGCGCGCAUAACAACUGAUGUGAUACAUGUUAUCUCUUCUGACACCUCAGUUGGCUGCACUGCAUUCAUAAUUAUGAUACGUCCAUGAAUACAUCUUAUAUCCAGAGAGGGUAACAUACAGGCUACAUAUACAACUACACGCAGAGGUACCACACAGGCAAUCAUUUUAAUUUACAUGGAUCAGUUCAUUUCAAUUUGGAUGCAGAGAAGGGAACAUGUAGGCAAUAAAAAGUGAGACAGAAGAAGUUGUAAUUUGUCACUGGCACGGUCGAGCAUGUAUAUAUCUGGUCGAGAGAUUUGUCAUGCAAAUAUCUGGUCAUAGGUUGGCAACCUUGGAAUUGGAAAUGAGCGGCAUUAGGGAAAAACGAGGUGCCACAAGUUACAGAUUGCGAUGUGCACAUCCACAAACAGGCUCCUCUCUCCCUCGGCACAACUCUGACACACACACUUGCACCUGAGAAUGUAUGGCACGAACGGAAGAGCAGAUGACGAACUCCACGGGAGGCAGUGGACGAAGACGUGUACCUUGCAACGGCCGGCGUUGCCUCAAUCCACAAGGAGCAGAGCCCAGCGAGCAGCCGCGCACUUGAUCAGGUGGAAAUGAUCAAAAACAAAUGUCAAGAAAUCUUUUUGCUUUGUUCAGUUCUUAUGUUUGUUUAAAGACAACUCAAAUUGUGCACCCAAGCCAUUCACUGGUGCAGAGUCGAAUACCAUUUGGGUUGCCUUUUAACAAGCAGCCUGAACCCUGAAGUAAAAGACGGUUCAGCAGCUUAACAACAUGCAUUGAGGCCAACUAUACUCGUAAAAUACAACAUUCAUGUACCGUACCCACUGUUCUCGUGCAUCCUGACAGGUCAGUACGUAGUUCAUUCCAUCUUAUCAUUUAUCACUACUCAUUUUCAUAUAGCAAGUUAGUCUGUGCCCUGUCCCUUUAUAUACCACACUAGCUCCUCCACUCAUUUUCAUAUAUCUGUAUGACUAGCCCAGGCAAUAAAAUUGCACAAUAACACAUUCAGUUGCUCAUACUUGUUGUGCAUCAGCCAUUUAGUUCAAGCACUCUCUACUUUUUUUUAAGCGAAAGCACUAUCUACUUUUCCUUGUGUACAUGUAGUGCUUUAAUUUCUUGCAUAAGCCCGAGCAUGUUAACUAGGAAAGGAAAAAAUAAGGUACUGGGGCAAAAAUGUGGGUUAGUGUGAAAGAUUUGGGGAGUGAGAGGCACUGGGAUAAAAUGAGGUGUUAUUUUGACAUUUUUGUCAAUCUAUUUGCACUUCACAGCCACUCCCUAGCACUGUGAAACCACUUCAACUCUGGAUUAUGGCACAUAAUUAUUAAUAAUAAAACUAUUUUUCUAACAUCAGUUUUUAGCAGAGAUAUUUAUUUAGAUAAUAGAAAGUAACAGAAAUACAGGGAGCUAAAGCAUAAAGUUUGCACAAGUGGAUCUGUGUACAUCAAUACAAUUCCAAUUCUAGCAUUCCAAAGAACAGAUAUCACCGCAUGUUAAAAAAAGGAUAACAUAAGAUAUAUGCUUAUAAAGUGCUCUGCAAAUCUGUUCCACACCGUUAACCAUUUUUAAUCGUCGUACAUUAUACUAAUCUUCUAUUUGGACGCUUGAUCUGCAUGUACAUAAAAGAUUGAUGAAGAAAAUGUUUAGGAACUGUUAAUUAGCUGUGAGCUGUGUCAGUACUCGGUAAUGAUUACACAGCAUGUUUGUUUCAGUAACAUGACAUUGCAUCCUGAACUGGAUAAACAUAGUGUCAACUUCUAUUUGUUCAACUAUAUAUGUACCAAAGAAGAGAGAUCAACAUUUUGUUUUACGGAAUGGGCACUGAGAACAAACAUUCGUAAUCAUGUGGAGACAAUCAUGUACGUCGGAGGUCCAACAAUGUGUUUGCGCACAUCAGGAGGCAAGCACAAGGCUGGGAGUUCGUGACCCAUCUUAUCCAACGCAAGCAUCCUGAAGCGGGCAACAGAGGAAAUGUGUACGUACCAAACUUAUUUUCUCCGACUCAGGACGGACGAAGAGGAUCAUCAACGGUAGCAUGAUAUGUCUGCAUUAAUUUUCAGCUGAGAUUAGCCAUGUAGAUGGGGAAGGCAAUAGAGGCAUAGAGGUAGUUUUGAAUGAGUGCCUAUGAAUUUUAUCAUCUGGGAUGACCCAAACGACGUCCGUGUCAUCGUGAGCACACCGUUACACAUUAUUCAGUGAAUUAGUAACUGCUUAGUUUGAGAAGUAUCUGGGAUAACCCCUUGCUGGAACCCAUGUGUCCUAGCUACUGAUAUCAAGCGGAUAUCCUACAGGACAGAGCAGUAUACAGUACUUUUCUGUAACAAUAUUAAGCUUAACUCAUUAACCACAUGGUUCAAGACACAAAUCAUUUCCUGGCCAGUGAGGUUCUGAGGUUCUUGCAGUAUGACAGGAUGAAGGCCUCCAGUACACCACACUACUACUGAGGUCCUGCUUGAUGUCUAGAUCUACCCCUGCCAUCAGAUAUUGUUAAGUAAGGUGUGAAAGAAAAGAUGAAACUAAAUAAAGUAACAAGUACACAACUUCAAAUAAUGUGGAUAAAUCUUAAGAUAUUUAUUCUACACAGCUGCCAGAACUGCCUCUUCAAAUAAUGUAUUGGCUUCAAUAUAUACCACGUGUAAGUACUCGUUGAGCAACGGAGCUUUAUAUAAUAUUUGUGCAUAUUUUCUUCUCAUUUCCCAUAUCUUCGCUUUGUAUAUGCCUUUCCCAUAUAAACCACUGCUUACUACUGUAUAUCUUCACCUGGCGUCAUCCAGUGCUCUCUUCGUUAACCCCACUAUACACUCUAGCGUUGGGAAAACAGUGAUAUAUUGUGACGCCAAAGGAGGAGUAGGAUUCACUAUAGGCAUAGAUGGCAACGGGAAAAAUGCCUUUGGCACAUUCUGCGGGGGUUGCGUCAUUUGGCUUCUUUAUAUCACAGGACAUUCUGCAGAAGUAAAGGGGUAACUGCUAGCUUGUUGUUUUAUGCUCUCUUCGGAACUGGUGAAAUCAUACCUUUCAAACAGUCUCGGCUUGCUCUAGAGCUAUACAAAUGCUCAAGAUAUUGUACGGUGAUGUGGAAUUGGUCGAGAAGGAACGUUAUGACGUUGCUCCAGGCGUGAUGGUCUCCAUUCCACAUGCUCAUUCAUAAAUUUGUGUAAGAAAUGCAAAAUCUGCAUGCAAAUAUCUAUCAUACAGGAAAUCAAAGAAAAACUUAUCCUUUGUUCAACAUUUUGGAAUAUUCAAUGUCUCAUAGCUUGCUAUCUUAUUUGUAUCCUCUGUGGAGUCAGAUUCAGUAGUGGUGCAGCUCAAGCAGAAUCUAACCCAGACAGCAGAAUCAUGCUUCUGCGCCUCAUCUUUUUCCGAACAUAUUGGCAGGAGCACUGCCUUGCAUUUAAGAGAGAAAUGAAGUUCCAAAUUAUAGAUAGUUGUCAAUUAUAUAAAUGAGAUGGUCUCUCUCGGACACUAGAACAUAAUGAUAGGCAAACAACAUUAAGAUACAUGGAGCUCAUCUCCUAAUAAAGGAUUUGCACAUGCUUGCCGGCGUGUAUUGAUGCCAUCUUGAAUCAAACCGAGAACUUGGUCAGAUCGAAGAGAUUUGUUGUCAAAGACUCUUCAGUUUCUUUCCUUCCGUAUAUGCCACGUUGUGUACAUCAUGAUAGCUGCAAUUGAUCAUCGUCGCUUGCCAUUCAGCUUGGGCAGCGAUCUGUUCCACCAUUCUUCAAUGUCCUCUUCAUUCCUUGCCUGCAUUGUUGCAUCAGCGCCUGUCCAAUUGACAACCAGGAGCCAUAAUUCUUUUGCAUAGGGGCAUUGGAGGCAUAGAUGAGACGCUGUUUCUGGAACUUGAUCACAUAGAGCACUCUGCGCCUCUUUUUCAUGGUGCAAGUGUGCAACUCUGUUUUUUUUCUUAUUGUUUUCCUCGUCACAUUAUAUUCAAUUGAAAAAAUUAGCCAAACUGAUGCUAAUCAGCAUGGCUAUGAGAAUGAGGUGCUACUCACAUUCAGCUGCCUGCAGUGUGUGUGCUGAUCCUUGUCUACUUCCACUACAUAGAAGAUCAGUAUGGACCAACUCAUCAACAUAAAUUUGACAACUUCCAACGACAAAGGACAUGAUCCAAGUUAGGGAUUUGGUUCCGACGUAUAAAGUACAUUUGGACUUUACAAUUGAACAUAUGCAUAAAACACUCAUCGAAACAAUCCAAAGCAAGUAAAAGUUUUUUUUAUGAACUAGAUUGUAAAUUUAAAGAUUGGAUUGUCAUCAUUCAUCAGUUUGUCAAUUGUAACAUCUCAAGAAUCAGCAACAUUGUCGAGUUCUAGUUGGCAUGUAUUUAGGAUAUUUGGAAGGGAGAGACGUGAGGCCUAGUUUGGACUAUUCCAGACAAAGCACAAACAAAAACGCAGAGGGGUAAAGGAGUGUACUAGUGCUCUGUUUUAUCUUGGAUAAAGAGUGCUACGUUUGGGAUGAACUGAUUCCCUUUUCUUUUGAGAAAGGAAGUACUCUGUUGUUCAUAUAACCUUGUUCCAAAUGUCUCCCUCCUAAAAAAAUACAUAUGUAGCAAGUUUUUAUCAGCGAUCAGUCUGAAGUGAAGGAGCAUCUAUCCUGCUUGACGGCAAUGCUGAAUGGAUCCAGGCUCUAUAUAUUCAAAUUCACUGGAGGCAGAUGAUCAUGGCCUCUGUUUCGCAAAUCACAACAUAUGUAGACAUGUUCAUAUAUACUGCCUUAUCUGCACCCCAAUGCUGCCGGGCCACCUUAUAAUGUGGCAGGGGCUACUGUUACUUGCUCUUCAGGGUCUAUUCACUUGUUCUUUAUGUUACUCGAGCUUUGUUUCUCCAAACCCAAAUUGUAUACCGUGAGAACUAACUCCUCCAUCCUAAAUUGUAGGUUAUUUUGACUUUUUCUACGUAUACGUAGCUUUUGCUAUGUAUCUAGAUUUACAUUAUAUCUAAAUACGUUGCAAAGACUAUUGAGUUUAAAACAGAGGUAGUAGUAUAGAGCUGUGGGAGCAGGAGGCAUCACCGGAAAUCUUGUUAGAGGCCGGAAAUAUACAAGUGCAUGCGGCCUGUCCAUCCUGUCUGCGUCGGCUCCAUAGGGAGCUGGAUCUUCACGAUACGGCCACAAAACAUCUUCUGUUAGGAUAGUGUUUAACCUCUGUUGUUGCCUAUUUUUCCAAGGGCUACGUCUCUACCUACCUUCUUGUUGACAUCUAUGUGUGUGUGUGUGUUAGAAAUGUAAAGCGAGCCGCACGUUCCUAUUCCCAGUAAGUGUGGCCAGCGGGACACUUCUGGGAGAACGAUAAGACGAUAGGAUUCUGGACGGUGUGUUAAAAGGGACCUACUUAGACUACUAAGGUGGAACUAAUUCCACCAUAAUAGAACACAUGGGUCACACUAAUGGACCGGGUAAAUAACCUAUUAAUUGGUCUACCAAUGCUGCAAGUCAAUUUAUCAUUAGAUGUUCCAAUCACUGGAAGUUAAUUUUUGUCAAUACCAUUCGGCUGCACAGUACAUAUGGCAUAAAAAAUGACCAUAUAUGCCUUUAUUUUUUUUUUAUCUAUGACACUUCUGGUACUUUGCAGUUACACUUGUUUUACUCUGCAUUUAGGUCUGCUUUACUACCGCACCUUCCUACCAUAAGAAUACAUCAUAUAUUCCAAUCUUCUCUAGACGUAAUAAUGUAUCUUUCUGGGAGCUAUGAUGCCAUUACUUUCAUUUUAACGCAAGAAAACUACCAAAUGCUAAUCUGAAGUUCGAGAGCAUAAAAAGCGCCCAUGAGCAUGGAAACAGUGAAGCAUGUGACUCAACUCCUAAAAGUCACAGUUGAUCCAUUCAUAUGCAGUUUAUGCACUGACUGGCAGAGAUAGAGAACUGGUGUGGUUCUUAAUAAACUUGCUACCUUAAUACAAAUGUCCUCAAAUUGACCGCAACUAACAGUGAGUUAAAAAUUAAAGACCACUGCUCGUCUGACACGUCUAUCACUAUACAAUUGCUCGUCCCUAGCUAGUACAUAAAUCAGUUGGCACUAUUUAUUCAGAUUUUCAGUACAUACAACUUAUGACUAUCAAUGCAUUGCUAAAAAUUACAUGAAGACAUGGUAACAAUAGGCUACAUUAUAUAUCGAGAGCCAAGUCCCCAUACCCUUGCUAGCAUGGGUAAGCAAGCAGUGAUGAGCGUAGAUGAGUGAGAUUGAGAGGCAUCGGGAAAACCUCGUUCGAAACAAAUGAAAAUGCUUGCUUGGGUUUCCACAGAUAAGCUGCUGGUGAUCAUCAUAUGCUUCCUCUGCCUCUUUGGUGGCACAACCGUUUAAGCACACUUAAUGCUUCUCCUAGACCACCGCUUCAUGGUCUACGCAGCUAAGCCUUUCGCAACUGCAACGGUGGUUUGCAGCGGCCUGCACUUCCAUUACAGGCAUAGUAGCAUGUUCUGAAACAUUCAGAGACACUGGACUCCUCUACACCGCUACUUUGAUAUCACCCUUGACAACUUAUUAUUGUGAUUUACUGUUUAGUUCGUAUUUGCUAGAGGUGAUAAGCUAGAUUUUCAAUGUAGCAUGCAUCCGGUCAAAACUUUGAUGUAACUUGACGGUAUCUGAUUUUUCAAAUUAUUCAAUCUAACAUCCUGUCAAAAUGUGCCAUGAGAAGUUGGCUAGGAUGAACAUGGAAGUAAUAUGGAAGUGAGGCGCAUGAGGUUCCCAUACCUACAGCUGCAAGAGAACGAGGCUAUCGUGAUGAGAAGUCGUUGAUUGGCUGGGUUACAAAAUCAUGAUUCGAUUUGUGUAAAUUGAUCAGUUCGUCGAAUGUCACAUUUCAAGACUCAGCUACCUAGCAAGAAUGAACUCUGUUUGCAUGGAAAACCAUGAGGUUUGUUCUGUUCUGAAUCUCCCUCCGGAAUUGUUCCUCCAAACUCCAAAGAGACUGCUGCUAGUGGUACACUCUGGCAAGAAACAUAGCUGUAGGAAUGCGCGGCGUUAGGGGAAAUCCUUUGAGAUAGUGUCUAGCAACUGGGACAAACACUACACCGAUGCACCAUUAGUUUGAGCAGUUACGUUGCUCAGCAUUGAGGUCAAGAUGAUUACUGAACAUGGAAAUUCAACAUUAUCUCUAGCUCAUCGCGGCAUGGCGCUACUACCAAUCAAGAUACAUCGUUGCAAAAAUGUCUUGAUGCAGAAUGCAUGCAUGGCCACAUCGAGAUGCAGGGAAGGUUGUCCAAUCCAUUUUUGGUCAUGCUGCAGCGUUGGAUUGCAUAUUGUCUAGAAUCAGGAUUAUUGCUCCAAGGUGAAUAAAGAGUAAGUUAUAUUUUGAGGAAAGCCUUGAACUAUCUUGGUCAUUAGGAUGUUCCAACUACCUUCAGUAUGAGCAACCAUUAAAGGAGGGGAUAAAGAUAGGAUCCAAUGUUUUGUUUAGUCGCAUUCCAGUUAGCACAUGGGACCUUAAAUGCAGUUGCAGAUUAGGAACUUGUGGGUUUUCGAGAGAUGUGCUUGUCAACGUUGCACUUGUCGAUGUGCAGCUGGUGGUGACAGCACCAUUCUAUUGAGCUCCCGCCAGACCCCCUCCCUCCACUGGGACUAACAGGUUAGGCAAAAGGUCAUCUUUCUAGUAAGGACUCCCUCCAUCUUUUGAAGAGUUCAAUUCUAAUAUUAAAACCAAAAGUUGAAGAGGGGAGAAGAAGAAACCACAGGUGGAGGAGCUAUCAAUCUUUCAAGGCAGUCAGUCGAAUGAAUUAUUGUGAUCCUCAGACACUGACGAGAAGGAUAUCGUAUUCCGAAAGCAUCAGAAUUCUGUUCAGCACUCAUCACUUCCUUGGUGCUGGUGAUCACCUCCCCUGUCGGUCGUGUCCAGUGGCCUCCGAUCCAUCACAUGCGAAAAUUCUAUUAUCCUGCCUUUGUUUUGUCAAACGUUCAACAAGCUGGUCCGGAAAUUAAAAAAAAUAGUCGCAUUGCAGUUAGCACAUGGGAUCUUAAAUGCAGUUGCAAAUCAAGAACUUGUGGGUUUUUGAGAGAUGUGCUUUGUCAACGUUGCACUUUUCGAUGUGUGCAGCUGAUGGAUGGAACGGAAGCACAAUGUAUGCACUCUUGAAGGUACCACAAGCUGUUGAGCACAGCAGCCACCAUGGCUCCAGUGCUAGCGCGCCUCUACGAACACGCAUCUCCAGAGUCCCUAGCCCUCCUCUUCUUCCUCCUCCUCGUCGCCGUGCACUUGGCAACACCAAGGUCCAGAACAGAGAAGCUGCUCCGGAAGCUACCGUCGCCUCCGUUCAAGCUCCCGAUCAUCGGCCACCUCCACCUCAUCGGAUCCCUUCCCCACCACUCCCUCCGCGACCUCGCCAAGAGGCACGGGCCCGACGUGAUGCUCCUCCGCCUCGGCGCCGUGCCAACGCUCGUCGUCUCCUCCCCACGCUCCGCCAAGGCCGUCCUGUGCACGCACGGCCACGUCUUCGCCUCCCGGCCGCGCUCCGCGGUGGCCGACGUCCUGUUCUACGGCUGCACCGACGUCGCCUUCGCCCCAUACGGUGAGUACUGGCGCCAGGCCAGGAAGGUGAUCACCACCCACCUCCUUACCGCGGCGAAGGUCCGGUCCAACCGCGCCGCCCGCGAGCAGGAGGUCCAGCUGGUUUUAGCCAAGGUGACGGCCGCCGCCGCCAUGGGCAUGGCGGUCGACGUCAGCGAGCUCUUCAGCUUCUUCGCCAACGACAUCCUGUGCCAGGCCGUGGCGGGCAGGCUCCCCAGGGAACAAGGUCGGAACCAGCUGUUCCGGGAGCUGCUAGAGACGAACGCCAAGCUCCUGGGGGGAUUUAACCUGGACGACUAUUUCCCGAGCUUGGCGAGGUUCGACUUGGUGUCGGCCAAGGCUGUGAAGCACAGAAAGAUAUGGGAUGACCUUUUGGGCAGCCUCAUCGACAAGCACAAGAGCAAGACGGUCGAUGGUGAGGACGAGGAGGACUUCAUCGAUGUGCUGCUCUCCGUUCAACAAGAGUACGGCCUGACCAGAGACAACGUCAAGGCAAUACUGAUGGUAUGUUUAUGCAGAGUACUGGCCUCCAAUUUUAUUUCACACGAGAGGUACAUAUGACCGAUAUGUUCAUGUAGGACAUGUUUGGAGCCGGGACGGACACAACCUACAUAGCACUAGACUACGCCAUGGCUGAGCUGAUGCGGAAUCCCAAGGCGAUGACCAAGCUUCAAGCUGAGGUGAGGGGGUGCGCAACCAAGGGGAAGGAACUGGUCACCGAACAAGACCUGAGCAGCAUGAGCUACCUCAAGGCCGUGAUGAAUGAGUCGAUGCGGCUGCACGCGCCGGGGGCUCUUUUGAUACCCCACUUGUCCAUGGCCGAAUGCGAUGUGGAGGGCUAUACCAUACCCUCCGGGACACGUGUGAUCGUCAACGCGUGGGCUCUAGGCAGGGACACCACCUACUGGGAGAGUGCAGAGGAGUUCAUGCCCGAGCGGUUCAUGGAAGAAGCCGUGGAUGCUGCUUCCAACUUCCAGGGGAACGACUUCCGUUUCUUGCCGUUUGGGUCCGGGCGAAGGAUGUGCCCGGGUAUAAACUUCACCGCCGCCACUUUCGAAAUCAUUCUUGCCAACCUCAUCUACCACUUUAACUGGGAGCUUCCGCCGGGGUCCACGGGCAUCGACAUGACAGAGUUGUAUGGGAUGGAUGUGCGCCGUAAGGAGAAGCUUCUUCUUAUCCCACGAUCGGCUUAGGACACGUCUAGAUUUCUGAAUUAUUGUAUCGCAUUUAACACCUGUUUGUAAAUAAACAUAGCUAAGUCAAGCUCAGCUGCUAUGUACAAGAAUAAGUGCCUUGGUUUGAUGUUCCAACGUAGAGUAGUAAUGAGAGCUUAGUUUCCUAGAAAAAAGAGAUGUGGGCCGGUCGAUUGAGUAAUAAGCAUUCUAUACGUUUCCAUGCAUCAACAAAUUUUACCCUUUUAAAUUUCCGUUCUUAUCUAUUCUGGAAUUUAUCCCCUGUGCUUGUCUUGAGCUUUCACAAAUAAGUUUUAUAACAUAUUGUCUGAGCUCUUUUACGGUACAUAAUACUAAACUAUACUUGUGUUUGAAAAUGACUAGUAUAAAAACAUCCGUCGGUCAAGAUUAAUUAUAUACUACUGAAACCUUCACCUGUGGUGUAUAUGGGUAGUAUACAUGAGUGUGGGUACUGUGGGUACUGAAACCUUCACCAAGGCCACUUUCGAAAUCAUUCUGGCCAACCUUAAUUAUCUACCACUUCAACUGGGAGCUUCCGCCGGGGUCGAAACUCCAAAGAGACUGCUGCUAGUGGUACACUCUGGCAAGAAACAUAGUUGUAGGAAUAAGCGGCGUUAGGGGAAAUCCUUUGAGAUAGUGUCUAGCAACUGGGACAAACACUACACCGAUGCACCCUUAGUUUGAGCAGUUACGUUGCUCAGCAUUGAGGUCAAGAUGAUUACUGAACAUGGAAAUUCAACAUUGUCUCUAGCUCAUCGUGGCAUGGCGAUACUACCAAUCAAGAUACAUCGUUGCAAAAAUGUCUUGAUGCAGAAUAUAUGCAUGCAUGGCCACAUCGAGAUGCAGGGAAGGUUGUCCAAUCCAUUUUUGGUCAUGCUGCAGCGUUGGAUUGCAUAUUGUUUAGAAUCAGGAUUAUUGCUCCAAGGUGAAAGUAAAUGACCAUAUGACAUUUAAAGUGUAAUGUGCAUGGUUUAAAUAUGCAAUACACACCUUCUGGCCCAAUGAGUCCCAAGGUCACAUGAGUAACUAAUUUCAUCGCUCUUCAAUUCCUAUUUCUGUUAACUAGCUCGUACAUGUCCUCCCCUUUACUUAAGGCAAGUGUUUCAUUGACCAUAUGUCACCCACUCAGACAGACAUUGUCCAUCUUUCUUCUCACAUAUAGCAGCUCGCCGAAGGAGGAGAUUUGGGCCUCAUCUCAAGGCAUUAAGAGCAAACUGCUUCAAGUCACUGUCAAGACUCUCUGUUCCCCUUCUGCUUCUUAACCACCGCAUAAGAGAAACAGAGAUAUGUUCAGCGAUCAUGCCAAGGGAUGAGAGGCAUUCAGUUCUGGAAUAAGUGGCAUCGGGAAAACUACUUUUAGAACGAACCUGGCCAUAUAUUCGUGACCAGUGGUCUGUUCGAUACACUGGUUCAUCAUGAUACGGAGUUUGGAAAUAGAUAGUGGUUUGUGUCAUGGGAAGUAGUUGUAGCGUACUCCCAGUCAGUAGCAAAAGGGUUCUCGAUUGCACCUAAAGCAAGGUGCUGUUUGGUUCAAACUUUGGAGCGGUAACAUUAAUGUAAACUUUGGUGCUGUUUGGUUCAGAGUUUGGAAAUAAAGUAACGAAAGUAAGAGAUACAUAUUACUUUCAUCAACAUUAUAGUAUAUCAGAUUUCAUCCGAGCUCGAUUGUUUCUCUAUACUUCUGUUUUAUAGAUGCCACCAAUUUUCCUAUAUUAACAUUCCAUCUGAGAAUGAAUGUUGCUCUAUACUACUAUUUUAUAGAUGCCACCAAUUUUCUGUAGAGCAUCAUCAUGAUUAGCUACGUAUCGAUUGCAGGUAAAUUUUCAGUAGAAGCACACCUACUUUUCUAACACAUCAAUGCAACUUCACUUCUCAUAAGUACAAAAAUCAGUUGCGGCCAGCGCCAUGCAGCAGAAUUAUGAUAGAAUUCUGAGAUCGUUAAAUUCAUAUAAAUAAAUCUGAAAAUAAAAAUAUGCCUUCCUUUUCUAAAUUAUUGUUCACGCUAAAUUCAUUAACUUUGUUCAGCAUUUUUUUAAUCAGUUAUGAGGCACAAGGCCUAUAGUGUUUCUCCUCCAUAUUUGCCCUUUUCUUUUAAUGAUUGAUUUCAUAUUUUCAAUUAUCUGAGGGGUCAUUCACGUGGUAAAUCUUGUAUGACACCAUGUCUACUUUUAAUCAUUUCAUUGCGUCUUGUUCUGUGUAUGCUUAUUACAAUAAUUUGUAGUCACAAUCCGCCAUAGGUGGAUUCAAGUUCUGGAUCCACCACUGGUACUAUAAACUGAGAUAUUACCAUACGGAUAUAAGAUUAUAGAUAUCGACAAGAGUAGAAAGGGUUUCCUCUGGGCAGGGAAGACCAAAGCUGGGGGGGCUCUGUGCCAUCUCCUGGCCAACUGCAUGCAGGCCAUGUAGGUUUGGGGGCCUGGGGAUUCCGGACCUCAAGCUCUCCUCUCAAGCUCUUCGGCUUCGCUGGAUGUGGCUAAAAAGAACGGAUACGCAGCGCCCGUGGAUCCAAUUAAGCACCGAUUUCGACAGGGACAAGAACAUACGCAGUGUCUUCCAAGCAUCGAUCCUGGUUCAACUAGGGGAUGGUAACGCAGCUCUCUUCUGGGAGGACAAUUGGCUGGGCGACUCCUCACCGUGCUUCCUCGCACCAGACCUUUGUGAUAUGGUUAAGCCCAAAAUAAGAAGAACCAGAACCGUAGCGGCUGCCCUGACAAACAAGGUGUGGAUUCGCGACAUUGUCGGACGAGCUACAGUCAGCGGCCUCACGCAGUACGUCCAACUUUGGCAUGUGGUUGCCACUGUCCAUUUGCAGAUCGGCAUCGAGGAUGUCAUCUCCUGGCGUUGGGAAACCUGUGGGUCAUACUCCGCCCGAUCGGCAUACCAUAUGUUCUUCCACGGCUCCACUGUUUCGCCGAUCUUCAGGACCGUGUGGCGCGCUUGGGCACUUUUGAAAGUCAAGUUCUUCAUUUGCCUCACGGCUAGGGGUAGGAUCUGGACCGCCGCAAGGCGCAAACAACAUGGGUUGCAGGUCACUGACGAGUGCAAUCUCUGUGGCCAAGCUGCUGAAACGGUGGAUCACCUAUUCAGUCACUGCGCCUAUGCCCGUCAGGUGUGGCUUCAGGUUGGACAAAGAACUAACAACCAGCUACCGAACCUCUCCGCGGAUUCCAACUUGAUCGAUUGGUGGCUCUCUAUUCGUGCCAAUAUGACCAGCGUCAAAGCUAAAGGCCUAGAUUCUACUGUCAUGCUGGUCUACUGGCAGUUAUGGAAAGAAAGGAACGGCCGGGCCUUUGCCACUACCGUUGCUAGAACGCCGCAACAACUCCUGCAGCUCAUUGCCGAAGAAGCGUCGCUUUGGACUCAGAGUGGUGCCCGAACAUGGAAGCCUUUGGUUGGAAGCCCCCUGACCUCUAGCUAGCGUUACGACUCUUAUGUCUUAAAUUCAGCUCCUAGACACCCCCUUUAGCAUAUGUAAUCCCUGUCUAUUUCCAAUACCGUGUGCGAGUGCCCGGUUAACGGCCCGCGUUGUACAAACUUUGUAUUAACUUCCUCUUAAUUGAAUGAUGCGCAGCUCUUUUGCGUAUUCUAGAAAAAAAGUAAAAUUAUAGAUAUUGAUAAUUUUAGAAUGAGGCAUGAGCUUCCCUUGAGAAAAUCGUUAACUAUUAGAGUGCAGUUGUGAAUAGUUGAGGGCAAAAUCACAAAAUUAAAAAUAUAAGGGUAAAAACACAAUUGCACUUCAAAGUAGGGGAAGAUAAAAAAAACCUUGUAUUUUUAGUAUUUAUAUGCAUCAAUCCAUUUAGUGUGCAAAUUAGGGAAUAUGUAGAUUACAUAAAUGAGACAAAGCAAGCUUUUUUUUACCCUUGCGUGCAUAAGAAUCUGAGAUGUGAAGAGAGACACCAGUGCUGAGAGAUUUUUGUUAUGCACAUACCAGGUGACUGCGUAACAAAAUUGCAAAUGAGCGGCAUCAGGAAAACACCACUGACAAGCUUCCACGUUGUUGCAACCGCCAUUGAACCAGUGUACAGUACAGGCGAGAACUGUAGUGGAUUCCUUACGAUGUUCAGCUACGACUCUACGAAGCAGAGGACCACUAUAUGGAAACAUACUGUGCAAAGAAAGUUCGUUGGUUCAUGAAUCUCACUCAUAUGUUCUUCGAUCAGUUUGUGAAAAACAACUGCAAGCAAAAUCAAUGACGAAAGCAUGAAACAGUAGCAGUUUUUUUUCUAACAAAAACAAUAGCAGGUUUCUGCUGGCUACUUCCAAACUUACUGUGAAUAAUCAACUUUAGGGUUUGCUUGAAUGUAUGAUCCUUCUAAACUAAUCACCUUCCUGUUGUGAGGUUAGCCUGAAGAAUCACCUAUCUCGUAAGGAUAAAAACAAUCAGUGCUAUAUCAGAAGAGGUUCUAAAACGAAAUUUUAGAAAAGCCUCUUUUGAAGAGUCCUUUAUCUUCCUUUUUGGAGGCUUCCAAUCACCAUGAUCGUCAUGCUUGGAUUAACGCAUGUCCAUCACUUGAUAAAACAUUAGGUUUUCAAGCAUUUUGUCAUCAAUCACACAAAACCCACUUCGGGAGGUCAUGUGCACUUUCACUCACCUUCGCCGGUGAGGUCCCCGCUGGUGCUUCUUUUGUUGGAGCUGCUCAGGUACGGAGUAAAAUAAAUUCCCUACCCCGCUAGCCCAAUCUGUUUGUCUCCACCGUGUUCUUGGUGGAACUCGUCCCUAUCACCUAAAAUCAUGCCAGAGCCUAGGUGGAUUCGUUCGAUCCUUUGGCUUCUUAGGCAAUUUCAUCUGUUUGCACUUCAGAUCAGGUCUCCCUCAGUCCGUCGGUGUCUCCGUUGCUUCCGAGUAGCUUCGGUCAUGCCUCCGCAUUGCCCAACCUCCUAUUGCAGAGACUUGUGUGUCUCCCUCUUCUGGUCCUUGCGGGCCUCCAUUGCCCGUUGUGCUAUGAGCCUUCCACGACUCUGAUUAAGUUGUCUCCUUCCCAUCGGUGUUGUCUUCAUCCUCGUCUUUGGGUCGCCGGCAACGUUCUUCACUGACGGCUUCUUCAUCCACUUCAAUCCUCCUUGUGAGGACUCUUCACAUCGGCCCCAAGCGUCUUCAUAGGUCCAUGGUGAGGCUGACACCUCCGGUGGCCCUCGCCGGCGAGCUUCUUGGCAGCCUCAGCGGCGACGUUGUCGGUUUGCUUCCAUACUUUGUGGCCUAUCUUGUUUGGGUCCAAUCUGUAACUGGCUCCUCUUUGGAGAGCCUCUUUAUAAGUGUGCUACUGCAAUAAUAUAUUUUCUCUGGUUUUUAUAAAAAUAAAGAUAACAAAGAUAAAAAAAUUCACAUUAUUCGCCAACUACGCACCAUGCAGAAUGAUGAGGGAAACAGGGAUCGAUGGAUCCGUUUGCUGCUUUUUCAAAACAAAGUUAACUAGCUGAGUGGAUUUCAUUCUUGGGAUCAUAUCAGACUUGUGAUCUCAUCUAAACAAAGUUGUGAACCGAAGAGUUGUAGAUCUCGUCAAACUCUAUCAUCUUCAUAUGAAUUUUAUUUUCAUCCGAGUUAAUAUAAAAAAGUUAUGAAUUUUUAAAGAUGCGCUGCGUAGAGAAGGGACAUACCACAGAUUCAAAUGGCUGUAAGGUAUUGAAUGGCUAUAUAUGUAUAAAUUUGCAAUUUUUUGUCACAACAAUUAUAUUGUAAAAAUCUGAAAAUAAAAAAAAUCCGGGUGCAACAGACGGAUUUGAGGGCAACAAGGCCUGAGCCCAACAGCCUUCCAGACCUGUGAAAAUGCGAGGCCACUCCAGGCCGGGCCUCUCGUCACAUACCAGUAAGCUCGGCGUCAAGGUGCUCAUCGUCUCAAUUUGCAUUUGGUGGUCUCCUAACAUUUUAUUCAUUGUCACAAACGGCAAGCCUUCCUCUAUCUUAGAAAUUUGAUUACUUUUUUUUAUCUAUAGAAACUAAAAUUGUUGAUUACCAAAUUUAUUGCUAUCGCACGUAAAUUUAUAUUAAAGGCAAUCACAUACAAAAUUAGAGAUCAUAGAUGAUCUAUACUUCAGACAGAUCACGUGAGGCUGUUAUGGUUGCCAUUUGCCAAGCCAUUCAAAUUUCAACAACACUAAUGCUGCUGGGUGAGCAAAGCAUAUCAAUACAACUGCAAACGAUGACACAUGGAUCAGGUUAUCCGAUGAUUCAGAUUGGCACUUGAGAACCAAGCAUCAGAUUGUCACUGGAGAACCAAUCACACAAAACAGUUUGUCCAUUGCCAGGACAUCCUUUGGAAUGGGUUUCAGGAAUCAAUACAGAUGACUUGCAAACCACAUCCAAACAAAAUUUGAAAAUAUAAUAAGCACAUAGCAGGGCAGCAUAACAGAGAUUUGUGAUCUUGUUAUAUCAUCAUUCAGGCCUAUGUCAAAACUCAUAACCAGUAAAAGGAACAACAAUAUUUCUCCCAUAGAUUCAAACCGGACAAAUACAAUAGCAAGAUGCAACAGGUCUCCUUGAGCCUUCAAAACUGUGGUCACCUCCAAAAACAAGUCACAAGAAAGAUGUGGACCUAAGCCGUUUUCUUAGAUGAUUUCUUGAAAGGUUUCUUCUGGGGCUUGAGCUUAUCAGAUUUCGAGGACAUCUCUCUAUCUUUCCUUCUUUGCUUUUCCUUCUUCACCUUGUACAUUGUGAUUGCCUGCUUACAAAAAUGUUCACAGAUGCUGUUAGCUCACUGAAACAGAACAAGCAGUGCCAAUGAUGGUGGGCAAAACACAAUUUAAUGUACUCCAUUGAAUCCUGGAACUUGCCUUGCCAACAUCAAGCUGUUCAGAGUUUCUGGCAAGUAGAGACUCCAGGAUUUUGUCAUUCUGCUGUUUCCCCAGGUUGCCCAUUCCCUUCCCUUCAGCAACUGGGAGAAACUGCAGAAACGACAUGAUUCAGCUAGUGCACAAAUUCAGCCUACAAAGGCAGACUCAGAAAUCAAAGCCAUUAAGAUAUAAAAACCUUUCUAUGUUUGCCAGGAUGCUUUGGAGGUUUCGCGCCAGGCAACUUCUCAUCAAACUUCCCACCACUUGCUGUUGCGGAUCCCAUGCCAGCAACAUUCUCAAGAUCCUCUUUUCUAGAUUUUUUCGGAAGAUCAGCUUCAGUUCCUGUGAUGGGCAAGGACUUUGCAGCAAGUUGUAUAUGACUGCACACAAAAUAUAUUGGAGAGCUGUUAGAUGACUAUACUGCAUAAUUCUCAAGGUUCCUUACUGGUACAAAAAGGAAUUCAUAGGAGGGAGGGGUAAGCAGUAGGUGAGUGAAGGAUUACAACCUUGGCAAAGCACCAACUUUUGCAGCUUUCUUUAAGUUCUCUAGUCUGUUUUUUCCUUGCUUUUCUACCCGCUUCUUCUUUUGCUUUCUUUGUGCAAAAGGAUCAACUCCAGGCUCUGUAACAAAUGAAAUUGUCGAUUAAAAGGGUAUAUCAGAUUGACCAACCAGGUUUACGAUACAUGCACAUCUAGAAAAAGAAUCAUUAAUAAUAAGAAAAUGUUUGUCAGAUUUAGGUCCUAAACUAUGAAAUGACUGCAUAUCAAAAAUAAGUGGGGGUAAAGCACUGCAUAUGAAAAAUACUGGAAAAUUUGCUGGACGGAGUCAACCAACAUAAGCAGAUGAAUAUGAUAGCUGCAAUACUGGAUCAGGGAGAGACACCAGUCAGCACAACAGUCAACAGGAUUGUUGGCAAAAGGUUCAUGAAGACAAAUUACUAACCAUCAGUGGAUUUAGCUUCAAUAAUCGGAACCGAUAUGGGGAUUGUGAGACCAAGGAGCUUGACUUUCCAUCCCAAAUGGUAACUGUAUUGAAGCCUGCCAAUAUGAUCAAAAGCUAACUUAUCAUCAUCUUCAGAUUCAACAUCUUCAGGAUAGCACCAGCGUGGCUUGGGCACAAGCCACCUGCAAUUCAUUUCAAUGAAAUAAUUUAUACAUCCAAAACUUAACUUCAGCCUAAUAAAUACCAACAUGGAUCGGAAUACCAACCUGUUAACCUUAUUUUUGACAUCUCUUGGCAUUUUCCAGAAACACGCACCAGAGGCAUUGCCAAUAUCACCACCAGAUUCACUGUCAGAUUAUGCUUCAGCAAGCUUCUUAAAAUGCUCCAAAAAAGAACAAUGCUAGAAUACUGACAUGAACAAUGCUAAUACCUUUUUGUCUCAAACGAUGCUAGAAUCUUGCAGAUCACUUCCCAUAACAGGAAAGGAGUUCCAAUUCUUGUGUCAUAGAAGUUCAUGCCAACAACAUAGCCAUCAAGAUUAACAAGAGGGCCUCCAAUCCCAGCCUAGCAAGUUAACAUAAAUAAGUUGUGAUUUCUAUUCAAAACAUUGCUAGCUAAUUCAUUCCAAUGCAACUAUAUGCUUCCUUUGUUCAGAAACACAAAGCAGAGUCUGUCCAAUUUCAAGCUUUGACAAUUGAUUAAUCCAAUAUUAUCUAGGUUUCAUCAAAUGAUACCGUUAGAUUCAUAUUCCAAAGUACUUUACCAUGACUAUAUUUUAAUUGUAAGCAAAAUAAUGACGGGAAUUUACAGUCAAAGCUCUCUUUUAGACAGUCAAAUUACACCUAAUAGAAGAAAACAGAAUUAUUACCUUAGUGAUUUUACAUGUGGAACGUGUGAGGAACUCACAGUCAAGUGUGCCUGUCCAAGGAACUAGACGACCACUAGUAGCCAUUAAUGUGCCUGAUUUGAAGCAACGCCCUACAGCCGCUACUCUAGAACUUGACUCCCAAUCAAAGCUCGUAUUUAAUGGACGAAGAGCACGGUACUUGACACUGACUAGAGCAAUGUCGUAAUGUAGAUUGCAAUGCUCUAACUUCGCUUCUUUGCAUUGGUUGUUAAGCAACACUUCAAUCUGCAAAUAAUACAGUGAUCAGACUUAAACAACACCUUAGAAGAACAUCAGACACAAAACAAUGAACACCAACCCUCAAGUUUUCAUCAAUCUUGUUCUCAUUGCCAGAAUCUCUAACCAAGCUUGCUGAUGUCAAAAUCAUCUUAGAUCCAUUCCAUUCAAUAAAAAAACCUGUGCAUGCAAAAAACCUUUUUUCUCCUGCAUGCCAUGAUUCUGGUUACCUGCUAGUUGUAAUUGAAACAAAGAUGAAAUAGUAAAUGUCACAUUGUUGUAAACUCACCAUUGAAUGAAGCCAGUGCGACAACAUUGCGAUUUAGGAUAGAAGCCCUUUUGCUGAAUUUUCUCCAGACACCUUCACCAUGUAUGUCGCCAAAAGGGUCUUCAAAAGAAUUAACCAAGAUCAUGCCAGCUGGAUAAAUACAUUGUACAAUAAGUUGUUAGUGGUACAUGAGAGCUGUAAAAGAUCAGCAAAUUUUAGAAGCACUGACUCACCUCCUAACAUGGAGGAUGGUAACUUAGGGUAACCCAUGGAGUCUAGAUCUAACUGUUCCUGGUUGAGAAAAUCUCCAUGUACUGGUGCAACAAGGUCAAGUGAUCAGCACUGACAUAUACUAAUACUAUACACAGAAAGUAAAUUCGCAUAAACUCUGCGCAUAACAAUAGCAUGUAACAUUAGUUAUAUCAUGAUAACAGCCUGAGCAACAAUUAGCAUUAGAAGUCAGCGUGCAUGAACAUACCCAUAGUGUACAUAUGUUAACUAAUAAGAUCCAACAAUAUGAGAGUACAAGUGAAAGGGCCGGACUAGUUGAUGUACAAAUGUAAACGCUAAACUUGCACUGCUUCUAAAUAGGUACCAUUACAAACUGCAACAAUUUGCAUAAUAAUACGAUGUUAAGCAGUUUUGAGGAGUGCCUGUGUGCUCACCUUCUGGAUGGCUGUUAGAUUUCUCACCUAUGGAUGCUCCAGGCCUGCAGAACAUAAAAAUGACUAGUUGACUACUAAUCAAAAAGUAAAAUGGAUCAAACCAGUGCACUUAUACACCAAAUGGUGCCAGAAACUAUGUGGGUAGAAUCAUAGGCAAGGAACAAGAUAGAGAAAUGAGGAGAAGUCGUGCGGAAAAUGUUUCAUGAAAACAUGAUCAUAAUGCACUUUCCAACAAGAUUAACAUACAGUUUUCAACAUUGGCACAAGAAAUAAGACAAACAUAGUACAGGACAACUGUGAAUCUGUGAUACAUGCCAGAGGUCAGUAAAUAUUUUGAUUGGUAAACACUGAGGACUGCAAAGCGCAGAUGGCAAAUAGGCAUAGGCUAAGGAAUAGCAGCAAACAAUGUACGAAAUAGCGGGCUAUAGCGGUGCUAUAGCGUUUGAUGCUAACUGCCACUACAACAGUGUUGUACUAAUUAGCGGGCUAUAGCGGAGCUAUAGCGGUUAAGCACAGCUCUACGCUAAAUCUCAUAGCCCGCUAUUUUGUACAUUGGCAGCAAAUGAUCUAGAUUAUUGCAUACAUAUGUUGUUUGGCACGCAAAAGGGCUUACCUUAUAAGCUCUUUUAGGAGAAGAGCUAAGGUAGAAUAGAGUAGGUAAACUAAUAAACGGCAUGCAUUAAAUAGACAUACCUGUGAACCUUCAUUUUUUUUGAUUGUGCAAGACCAGUCUUCUUUUGCACGAAUGUCAAGUAAUGCUUGAGAGUUGUGCCCCAUGGUAGAAAAAUGGCUCUUCUAUUGGUCAAAAAAAGGUUCAUGCCAACCAUAUCCCCAUCAACAGAAAGAAGCGGCCCACCUUCCCAAGGCUAAUAAAUAAAACAAGCAACACGGGUUACAUUUGAACAAAAUGAAGUUGUACAGAGAGUUAAAUAUAAACAAGAAAUCAUUUUUGUUGCCUCCAUGCAUAACAGAAAAAUAGAAUGAAAUGCUCAUAUCAUCAUGCAAGUGUACCUUUGAGAUUUUACAAUAAAGAUCUCUAUCACCCUCAGAUACCCUUGAAUCGCCAUUCAACUCCACAGUCUCGACCAUUAUUUCGCCAGAGGUGUCACGCCCUACAGCUAAUACCUCACCAUGGGGCAGACUUUCCAGUGCACUUUGGAAAGAUCCAACCUGAACAUCACGGACAUUAUAGACUUCAACAACAGCAAAGUCAUUAUCCAAAUCAUAUUCAGCCAUAUACCCAUCAUACAGUUUGGUGCCGUCAAGGCACACUUGAAUCUAAGAAAUGACAAAGCAAGAAAUGAGCACACAAUGAUCAGAAGUAAACAAAUUAGUAAAGGAUGACUGUCACCACCAACCUUUAAGUCAUCAUGGUGUUUGGUCGUAGCAUUAAGAGCUCUAACCAGAGUUGCAGUAGUCAAAAACUUUGUAAAAAACUGGUGUUCCAUAGCUAUGCCUGAGCAUGAAAAUAAGAUUCUAUCUCCUACAGAAGAUCGCAAGUUAAAUCAUUUAUAACUGGUGGCAUUUCAAUAUAUACUUGUUAGAAAACUGAGAAGACUAAGCGUAUGUAAUCACCAUUGAACAAAAUAAUAGAAGCAACACUUUUAGACAAAUAUGAUUUCAGCCCAUCACUGAGCCCAGUCCAAACAUCUUGCUUAGAGUCCCAAAGGAGGUCACCUAGUUGAAGAAAAUAAAACAUAAAGCAGCUGUGAAUAAUCAUAUAAACUGUGAAAACGCCGGGGGUGUAGCAGAAAAGAGGAAAAGAUCUAGCAGACCUGAGAUCCACUCAUUCUUGAAGGCUCUACUAUUCUUAUGAAAGCUUCUAGGGAGAUCACCACCGCCCCUCUUAGCUUUCCGCAUAUUUUUCAAGCCUGAAGCAGAACUUUCUUUUAGAAAUAAAAACAAAGGGGCAAAAUGUGGGGUCAUAAGCAGUGAAGCAACAAUAUAAAACUAUAACCGAGCAACUAAUCAGGAACGCGAAUAAUGGCAUUAUGUCAGGGUUGCUGAUCCUUGGUUGCCUGAAACACCAAGAAGGUAGCCAAAAAGCAUAAUUUCUUAGCAGUAGCAGAGCUUGCAUCUAAAUUGCGCAUGGCCAACAAGUAGAUAGAUUGAUUGUUCAUAAAUAUUAGCUAGUUGUUACUGUAUAUGUCUUAUGGAGUUUGCAAAAACUGUGCGUGUGACAUGAAGUUCUGCCACUGUUAGCUCAACUCAACUAUCAGCUAUAGCAUGGAGUGCUGACAUGACAAGGACAGUGCAAUGUCACACCUGAUGUAUAAGCCUAUUCCUUAGGUUGUGUCCAACUGUAUUUCAAGUGCCAAGUAUGUUCCCCAAACAUACAUUUAUGCUAUCAUCUUGGAGCAAAGGCUGUUACCACAAACACAACUGAAAGAAAAGAGCUCAAUUAAGCCUCGUAUUUUUUUUUGGGGUGCAGGUUAAGGUAGUGACUAGUCAAACCUAGCUUCACCUUCCAAUUGGAAGGUAUGUAACCUUCCAAUUGGAAGGUAUGUAACAUGUUCUCUUCUACCACUUAGUCAGUCUAGACCAGGCAUACAAAAGGCACCAAAGAAGCAGUCAAGUUCUUCAUAAUUAAAAAAAGGAACACUAUGGAACUAAUCUGAAACUGCACAAUAUUCCAUGUUAUACUUUAAGAUAAGUUGGUGAUAUUUUUUCAGAAUUCCAUGUGCUGCUGUUACUCUAGUAGCGCUGCUCGUUGAUUAGAAAUCGUACUAGAUUCUUUAAGGGGGUUUCUAAAGAAACACUGUAUGCUUGAAGAUCAAUAUCUUUUAGAAUUAUAACAGCAAUAUUGUACCACCCAAUCAAGCGAUCUCGUUGAAAGAAGUCGACCCGAUGAAGUAAAGUUCCAAUUAGAUGACGCAUGUAAUCGGCUGGAUGUACCAAGAAAAAACACCACUACACCCUCAUACCACAAGAGGUGGGGCACAAAACUGGAUUUCGGCAUUCCCCUCUCCCACCGCAAGAAUUUUUAGAUCAUAUCUAGGGUUUAAGGUGCCUGAAGUCAAACGAGAGGGAGGGAAGGGAUGAGGGUGAUGCACGUACCUGGUGUCCGGCCUUAGAAGGCCUUAGAGGGCGCUCGCGGGCGAGGGGAGCAGGAGCGGCCGGCGGCGCUCGUGGGCGACGGGCGCGGACGGCCGCUCGCGGGAGACAGGGUGAGGGGGGCGAGGGGCGCGGGCGCCCGGCGCCCGGCAGCGCCGCGCCGCCGCGGAGGCGGACUCGGGGGUCGAUCCGGCAUUGGGGUUUGGGGUUGGGGGUGCGGCGCACUCGGGAGUCAAGAUAGCAAAACGGGUAGAAAAUACCCGCAACCCGCGGAUAUGAAACCCGAUGGGCACGGAUACGGGUCUAACUCUGUGCCCACGGGUACGGGCGCGGGCGUGAUCCUAGACCCAAUGGAUAUUUACUCACGGGCGUGAAAAAAUAAUAUCCGUACCCGCAAACCGACCAGACCUGCUUCAAUAUCUGACGGGUGGCCCCAACCCUAAUACCAUGUAUAUAAAUUCAGAGCCUAGGGUUUCAUUUCUCCCUCUGUCCGCCGCACCAACUCACUCCUAGCCUUCCCUCGUGAGUCCGUGACCCCGUCCCUUAUCUCCCUCCGUCCGACUCCCGAUCCAGCGCCGCCCUUUACCGCCGCGGUGCCGCCCCUUCUCGCCGCCGGCCGACCCCGGAGGCUCGAAUCCGCUGCCAUCUCCCCCAUCCCGACUCUCGAGUCCCGAAUCCCGACCCCGACACCAAGUGCCGCCGCCCGCUAGCGCCGCCCCUUCCUAUCACCGGCCGCCCCCGGAGGACCGGAUCUGUCAUCCGCCCAUCGCCCCGUCCGCCAGUGCCCCGUCCGCCGAUCACUGAUAAUAGGUUGCUAUGUGGGCACACAGGCAUGCCCGCGGGCAUGUGCUAUCCGCGGAUAGCGGGCACGGGUGCGGUUUUCUGCCCGUGGCGGAUAACGGGCGCGGGCGUGAUUUUUUGCUCGUGGGUAUGGAUACCUGGAGCUUGUAUCUGCGCGGAUUUUGCACAUUGCCAUCUCUACUCGAGAAAGGGGGACGAGUCUGAGAGUGGGAGACGCGAACACCCCUUGGCUGGAUAAGCCAUCGCACAACCUAUGAGCCCUUCUUACCCUUUUGGUAAGACUAUCACAAACUAAAGUCUCUAAUUAAUUACCUAAGAUCAGAGCCAUGUAAUUCUUGCGGUUGUACUAUUUCCUGAGUGGUCGCUUCAUGUUCUGAUUAACAGAUAUAAUCUUGUAAUUAAAUCAACACAGAGGAACAUAGAGUGAAUAAUUUAUUCAUGUUGUUUAGUUACCGUUGAGCAAACUAAGCAUCAUCUACUAUCAAGUUUAAUUAAACAACCCGGCUGCAAGGUAUGAUCAAAAGAAACUAGGCAUCGUCCUUAAUAGGAACCCAUCUAUUAAUGCAAGCGAUAAAUAAAUAUUGUGAAUCAAUUUCAUGUCAUUUAGGUGUAAACGGGAACGAUCAACGACACUUGCCUUCCUCAAAGCCCUACUGCUGCCCAGAGUCUUCAGUCUUCUGCUUGUUCAGAUUCCUCGAACUACGCUCCUUCUACACGCGUCACACGAGCACAUACAAAGUAAAAAAAUAUAUAAAAUGAGAAAACAAUACACCAAUCAAUAUAAAUAAAAGAAAAAAAUCUUACAAAACUAUUCUACGCGUCGAAACGAACUCGUGGACAUAAAGAACACUAAAAACGGAGCUAUGAUGCAAAAGACACGCUUAAAACAAGCUAUAGGGGUCUAUCUGCGAGAAAACUAGACUUUCAGGAACCUCACAGCAAGAAAUCGAGGGCCUAAACGUAAUUUCUCCGAUAAACCGAAGGUUUAAUGCGCAAAAGAGCAGCUCUGGACUGCGGAUGCUAUUGUGCUGAAGCCUAGGGGCCUUCGAGAAAUAAACUAGGUCUUAAUUGGAAGGAUUCUUGAACUGCGGUGGGCUUCGCAGGGGUUUUAUGAAAAAGUGGCACGGCUGACCGGUAUUCACCCGGUUUGACUCGAUCCCGGCCGAUCUGAACCGUCGGAUGUGGAUCCGACGGCCGGCGGCAGCUACGCACGCUGCGCGGCGGCGGAGCAUGGGCGAACGGCGGCGGUUCGCCGGUGAGCUCGCCGGCGAUGCUCGAAAACGAGCUUCCGGUCACGGUUUCGCACGCGGAUUCCUCCAGGGGUAGAGGAUGGUGUGGCGAACCGGUUUAAAGUGUCGACGGUUGGGUUUUUGCGGCGGCGGUGGCGGAGCGAAGCCCGGCGGGAGACGGCGGCUCCGGCGAGCGUGGGCGUGCGGAAGAAGAGCACGGGGCGCACGGGAACUACUCCGGCGGAUUCGUCGACUCCUGGCGGAGCUAUGGGCGAUGCUUCUGGCGACGAAGAGGCGUCGGCGGAGGAGAUCAGCACGGCGGCGGCGCACGGAAGCUUGCGAGCGGCGGCGCUGUUCCGGGAAAGCGGAGGCUAUGGUUUGCGAAGGGUAAAAAAAGGUGGCGGCGGCGGCGCCUUUUAAAGGGAGCCUCGGCGUGCGGGCCCGAGCCGGUUCGGGGUCGGACGGGGCGCGUCGCGUGCGCAACCCGGACUCAAGUCCGACGAGGAGCCGGGUGCGGCGCUGCGCGGAAGAAACGGAGGAGAAGCGGGCGGCCGGUUGGAUGGAAGGGAUGACGCGUGGACCCCACGCGUCAGCGAGUGGAAAAGGGUGUGCGGGCUGGGCCGGUUGGCGCGCUACUGGGCCGGAAGGGAGGGGGGUUUUGGGCCGGCGCAGCUGGGCCAACGCAGGGGGAGCAGAGCAGGCCGAGCGAGGUAAAGGAACAGGCGGCAGUCGGCCCGAAAAGAAGGGGAGAAAAGGAAACGGCCCAGAGAGAAGAAAAGAAAAAAAAAAAGAAAAAGGAAACUAGAGUUGAACUUCAAAUUUGAAUUUGAAUUCAAACACAGAUUUGAAUUCAACACUCCAAAAGCAAUGCAUCAGCAUGAAUGCAACAAUGAACUCCUAGGAAAUUUAAAUGCAACCUUAUAGUCCUUAAACACACGCGAUUAAAUUCUAGCAAAUUUUAUUAACUUGCAAAACUUGAGAUUUUUUUUUUGUGUUACACGCCGUGUAUUCUAAUCCAUGUGAAGCCACCGAAACAAAAAUGGAAACUAGGUUUAGAACCACCAGCUCUCAGGUAUAGGCUUUCGUCAGGGCAAACGUGGUGAAAAAAGGAUUUCGCUGACAUUGGAAGCACACACUCCCGUCUACUGACUUGUUCAUGAGUGGAAUAGGCCAUCACCGUGCCAGUAUUCUAAUCCAUGUGAAGCCACCGAAGCAAAAGUGGAAACCAGAUAGGCUUCUGUCAGGGCAAACGUGGUGAAAAGAGGAUUUCACUGAUAUUGGAAGCACACACUCCCGUCUAGGGACUCGUUCAAGAGUGGAAUAGGCCAUCACCUCAGGGAAAACGUGGUGAAAAGAGGAUUUCGCUGAUAUUGGAAGCACACACUACCGUCUAGGGACUCGUUCAAGAGUGGAAUAGGCCAUCACCACGCCAGUUUUCUAAUCCAUGUGAAGCCACCGAAGCAAAAAUGGAAAUCGGGUUUAGAACCACCAGCUCUCGUUUAUAGGCUUCCGUCAGAGCAAACAUGGUGAAAAAAGGAUUUUGCUGAUAUUGGAAGCACACACUCCAGUCUACUGACUCGUUGAUGAGUGGAAUAGGCCAUCACCGCACCAAUAUUCUAAUCCAUAUUAAGCCACCGAAGCAAAAGUGGAAACCGGAUUUAGAACUACCAGCUCUCGUUUAUAGGAUUCCAUUUGGGCAAACGUGGUGAAAAAAGGAUUUCGCUGAUAUUGGAAGCACACACUCCCGUCUACUGACUGGUUUCAUGAGUGGAAUAGGCUAUCACCGCGCCAGUAUUCUAAUCCAUGUGAAGCCACCGAAGCAAAAGUGGAAACCGGGUGUAGAACCACCAACUCUCGUUUAUAAGCUUCCGUCAGGGCAAAUGUGAUGAAAAAAGGAUUUCGCUGACAUUGGAAUCACACACUCCCGUCUAUUGACUCGUUGACGAGUGGAAUAGGCCAUCACCGUGCCAUUAUUCUAAUCCAUGUUAAGCCACCAAAGUAAAAGUGGAAACUGGGUCUAGAACCACCAGAUCUCGUUUAUAGGCUUCCGUAAGGAUAAACAUGGUGAAAAAAGGAUUCCGCUGAUAUUGAAAGCACACACUCCCAUCUACUGACUCGUUCACAAGUGGAAUAGGCCAUCACCGCGCCAUUAUUCUAAUCCAUGUGAAGCCAGCGAAGAAAAAGUGGAAACCGGGUUUAGAACCACCAUCUCUCGUGUGUAGGCUUCCAUCAGGGUAAACGUGGUGAAAAAAGGAUUUCGUUGACAUUGGAAGCACACACUCCCGUCUACUGACUCGUUAUCGUGUGGAAUAGACCAUCACCAUGCCAGUAUUCUAAUCCAUGUGAAGCCAUCGAAGCAAUUAGAACCACCAGCUCUCUUUUAUAGGAUUCCGUCAGGGCAACGUGGUCGGUGAUGGUGCAGUGAAUCAAGAUAGCGCAGCAAUGACCUGCUCCGUAUGGUCAUUGGAUUGACACGAGCAUCCAUCUUCACCUCAGUGAUGCUGGGUGUAGCCUAAAGAAAAUGGAAAGAAUGAUUCAUCAGAAUGUAGCAAAACAAAUUGCAAAUUUGGCAAAAAGUUAUGAAAAUUUGACUGUUUGAGUAUGAUUAUUACCUGGCGGAGACGGAUCCUGUUGUAUCUCUUGAGCACCUGGAGGAGUGUAUCGUAGGAAGCUGCGGUAGUGUACAUGCCAAUGACUCCUGUUGCCUUGAGUAUUGGCGAGCCUGACAUGCCCUUCAUGGAGACCAUUUCCAGAUGAAGAUUGGAGAUAUUAACGUCCCCGUCUAAACCAGCGUCGUCUGUCUCACUUCACACAAAACAAACAUAUAGAGAACAUAAGACCGGUAAUUCAAUCGGUACCAUAGCGGUGGCCUUCUCGAUAGGGUGCAGUUUGCUUCUUUCGGGUCCCUGUCAACGUAGGACCACGUCUGGAGGUUUUCAGCAACUAUAUGAGCGUGGUUGUUGGUGGGUGCCAUGGUAACUUCGUUUAUGCUGUCGUCGUCGCUUGAGGUGUGUUGAGUUCGGUGCAUGUUGAUGUCCCAAUCCAAUCGACCGAUGAUGUUGUUAGGUUGAGAUGAGUGCGUGGGCGUGGUUCGGCAUGUGUUGAUGACCCAAUCUAACCUGCUAGUGUUUUGUUGUUGUUGUUGUUUUCACCCAAUUUGAGCUUCUUCUUCUUUUUAAUAUAAUCGGCAACUCUCGUGCUUGAUUCGUUUUAAAAAAAAUCACCAAGAAACAAUGUCGCAUAAGACGAGAUUGAAAUAAUAGUCAAUACUUACACGACAUUGCCCGGUGACAAAUCAGGAAUGCGCUUGCAUGCCAUUUCGACACCAGGGAACAGAUCUUCUGGAUUACCGUACCCGACCCUGAUUAUACCGUCCGCAUUGAGGAAUGCUGGUUCAAAGGUCAGGUGCAGCACGUUCCAGAGUCGAGGAACCCUCAGCACUACAACGUCCUACCAUCGGUGCCGGUGGAGAACAUAUGCAGUUAGCUGUCGAACGCCGUUCAGAAGCAUGCUCCGCACGUACAGUCUAUCGCUGGGCGUCAUAUCUUGAAUCACGUGGUUGGCUAUGAGGACGAUCGAGCCCCCGCCGUCGCUUCUGAUCACGAAACCGGUUCCGAAUCCGACAUAUUUGGUACGGACGGGAUUGACGGUAUGAAUCCUGAUCACAGAAGAAAACAGAAGUCAAAGACCGCUGGCCGAUGUCAAAGUCAAAGUCAAAAAUAGAAGGAGAGGAGCCGGGACGGUCGCGGAUGUGGGUGUCCGAAUGCGCGCGGCGGCGCGUUCCUGCCGGUGACCUUCUGGUCUCCGGUGCACACCUCCUCCUCCGUUGAUGAUCUUCUGGUCUCUAGUGCCCAUCUGCCUCCUCCGCCUCUAUGGCCACUCUCUGGGUGACUUCCUCCUACUCCUCCAUGGAUUUUUCGUCAGUGGACCUGCGUCCUGGCCUCCAAUUUUCAUCAAAGGUACGAUCGCUCCUUGGAUCGCAAGUGUCGGUUACCUCUUCUUCAGGAUCCUUCUUUUGGCUUUUGGCAACCUUCACAAGAUCAAAGAUUAAGUUGACCGAUGAGAAUGUCAGCUUCCUAUUGCAAUCGGUCCUGGGAGGCUCUUCUUCUCACUCUCAAGUCUCUGAGCUGGAGGAUUGGAUUUUCAAAUUUUGUGUUUCCUCCAAGGAUGUUGGCCUUCUUGUUUAUCAAUUGGGUGUUUUUCAGUGUGGCAUUUUUAAAGUGACUUUUCACCUUUGCAAUGAUCGGGGGAUCUCUUUUGCAAGGAAUGUCCUUUCAUCAGCUCAAGGUAUUUCCUCGGACUGGACAGCUGUGGUUCCAAAGAAAUCUAGAUUCACUGGCUUUCCUCCUUUGUCUGGGUCAAAUUUAAUCCCUAUUGGAUCUUCUUCGAUGGCUGCUUCUUCUUGAUUCACCCACAGAGGACAACAUUCAGUGUUUGCACGCCUGGGACCAACCUGGAUUAGGGAACAACGGCACAUAGCGAAGAACACGGAUUUUUCAAAAUCCAUCAAUCCAGGCCUUGAUUUGGGGCUCAAUUUAGGAGUAUCAAUGCCAGCCUCUUCACAGAGCUCAGGGGGUGCAAGAUUACCGCCGCAAUCAAAGUCCAUUUUGAGUGCUACGCCAAAUUUGGUGGUGGGCCGGAUGUCUUGCUCAAGGUGUUUUUCUAAUAGACAUUCACGGGCCGCAUGUUACCGGUCUGUGAGAUGCAAUCUUUGUUUUCGUUUGGGCCAUGUAGCCCAUUCAUGCAGAUACCCACCACGCUUCCCUGGUCUCUCCGAUGCUAUGGAUUUUUCUUCUCAGGUGCAUUCAAUCGAUUGGGACAAUGCUAAUCCUCACAUGUGGUUUCAAUCUUCCUCGACCAUGGCAAGUGGACCUUUGACAGAGAGGAGGCCAGUCAUUGGAAGUUUCAAACAUCUGGGUAAGUCCCUGCUAGGUGUAACUCACUUUACCCAAGAAAUAACAGUUUUUUGGCAACUCUCUCCCUCAACCAUACUCUCCGGCACUGUCGCUCCAACUUCCAUGCUUCGCUCGCCGUCAUCGCACCUGCCUAGUUCUUCUCCACCACAGGAACCUGGUAGCGGCGAUCCACACCUCCCUACAGAAAAUCUUCCGCUUGGCUGCUCCAAGCCUUACUGCCAUUCCCUCUCCUCGGGCGAUCCGGUAUUGCGACAGGAGAAGUUGCUGGAGCAUCCGCCUUUGCCUCUCAUGGCGUACAGAUUUGUGGAUCCCACCCCUUUCCUUCCUCGAGGAUGUCAGCGGCAGUUGGUGGGCUUCCGCAAGCCAAUGUCCAGGGUUAUUCUUGGAGGUCCUCGGAGGAAUCAAAGUGAUGUGGCAAUAGCAACCAUUGAGCCUCUUCCGCAACAGCAGGUAUCAUUUCAAUCUAUAAGGGAAAUGCUGGAUGAUUUCUUGAGGAAUCGCUGUCGUAUGGGUGUUCACUCUAUUCAACCAUGUCCAUAUGGUCAAGCCUAUGUUCGUUUUCAUUUUGUUCAUAAAAAAGAUUUUCUGAUUGGAGGUGGGCCCCAUGAAUAUGGUCAUUAUAGAAUCUCUUUUUCUGAUCACAAUAAGGGUUGGAACAAUCGUCUUAUCACUAUGAAUUGUGAAGUCUGGAUCAUGAUUCUUGGGUUUAAUAUUGAUUACUGGACAAAAGCAGAUUUAGAGAAAGCUGUGGCUGAAUUUGGGAGGCUCCUUGUUUGGGAAGAGGACCCAAAUAACCUUGCUAGAAUUGUUGCUAAAAUUCGGGUUGUUGAUUUAUCUGAAAUACCAUGGUUUUUAGUCUGCUCAAAGGGGGAGGACUUUGAAGGGAAUUCAUGGACUGCUCAGUGUGAAAUCUUACAGUACAGGAUGUUAGGUGGGGGACCUGCUGAUGAGGGACAGCCGCCAGAUGAUGUGGAGCCUACUUUAUUUGAUUUCUUUGGUUAUGGUCAGCCCUCAGCUAAUGCAGCCAAUAAUCCUAAUGAGCCUAAUCAGCUAGUUAAUCAGGAGCAGGCUCCACAAUGGGGUCUCUGGCCAGAUGGGCCACAAGCAGAAGGGGAUGGGCCUUUCAUUGGUCCUCAAGAAGCCCAUGAGGACCCAGAUGUCCCUAUUAUUCAGGCACUUCCUGCACCCAUUCUUGCCAACAAUGCACCUGCUGAUAAUGCUCCAGGACUCCUUAAUAUUGAUCUGAACAUGGCUAUUGAUGAUGAUUUGGGGGGCAUUGAGAAUAAUGAUCAGCCAGAUGAUGAUCUAGUGGAAGAACCCCAUGCAUACAAUAAUAAUCAGGUUAUUGAGGGCUCAGAUAACUCUGAUAAUGAACUUGUCCCAAUUCAGCAGGUGGCUGGACAGCUUGUACAAGUGGAGCCUGUACAAGUGGAAGUGUUUAUUCCUCAGGUCAAUGGUCAACCCAUUCAUAUGGUGCAAGAUGAGAUAAAUGAAAAUGAUCUCAUGGAAAUCAAUCAGGAUCAGGAUGUUUACCAAGAGGAAGGACAAAAUGAUGUCAUGCAGCUCAGAGGGAAAAUCUAUUUCAGUCUAAGCCAAGUACUGAAUUUUAUAGACAGUGGGCAAGAAAUUUCUCUUCUGGGUCUAAUGAACCCAAGGUAGAGAUACCCAUGUCCUGGGCAUCCUUCUUUAUGGCACAGCUGAUAAACCCCAGUAAUUUUGUGUGGGCCAAGGAGUUUUUAUCUUCUCCAGCUCUAAAAUGCCUUGAAUAUGACCAAGUUUUAAAAUUCUCCAUCCCACCCAAAUGCCCCAACACAGAAGUGCCUGAUUGCUCUGCUUCUAUGACAGAGCACAAGACAGUGGAUGAUAAAGGAAAGGAAAUUUUAUUUGAAGGGAUUGAAAAAUCAAAUCUAGCCAGUUCCUCGGCUACUCCACUAACCUUGGUGGAUAAGUCUGCUGCAGUUUCUCCCAAUACCACAUAGUCUGCUUCUCCUGCUACGCCUGUUCAGGGGCUAAUCAAGAAGGUGGCAUCUUCUACAGGUCCAUGGUCUAAGUCUUUGUUGCAGCAGGCCAAUAUGAUGGCCAAGUUAACAAAGGAUAAAGCAGGUACCACUCUGUCAGAUGAAGACCUGAGGAGGAGUACAAGGACAGCAAAUCACAACAAAGGCUUCAAAGGUUCUGGGUGCAAGGAUAAGUGCUCAACCUCCUUUCUUAUCCCAAUCAGUAAUUCGCAACCUUGGAGAAACCUUUUGCAGGAUUGAACCCUCAAAGCUUUCAGUAGUUGGCCUCAAUAAAAAGAAAAAGAAUGUAGCCCCCCCUGUUGGAAGGAAGGCUCUGAAGAAAAAAUCUGAGAAGAGCAAAGAAGAUGAUGAUGCCACAAAAGAUCAGAAGAAGAAGCCCAAAAAAUAGUGCUUUUCAACAGAUGGCUAAGUGUUUCAUUUUGUUAGGAAGAAACAAACUUCAUAUACUAUGUUAUUUGUGGUGGAACCAUUUGUUACUGGUCCAAUUUCACUUUUGUGUCCUUGUACUGAUGAUACCUUUUCAGUACUGUGGAUGUUACUCUUUCUCUAUAUAUAUUGAUGAACUCUUCUCAUAACAAACGAGAUUGCAAGAUUUUGUGCUGGAAUGUAAGGGGUAUAAAUUCAGACAAGAAAUGGUAUUCGGUUAAAGACAAAAUUUCUGACAGUAACUGUGAUAUCAUUUGCAUCCAAGAAACAAAGAGGGAAGCACUAGAUUUGUUAUUUAUUAAAAAGUUCUGUCCCCAAUCCUUUGAUAGGUAUGAGUUUUUACCGUCACAAGGGACCUCUGGUGGGAUUGCAAUAAUCUGGAAAUCAUCUGUGUUCUAUGGGGAAUUAAUUUUCAUGAAUCAGUUUGCUAUCUCAGUUAAGCUUAUUUCACACCUUACUGAUUGGGAAUGGGUUCUCACAAACAUUUAUGGUCCUUGUACUGGGGAAGGGAAAAUAGCCUUCAUUCAAUGGUUCAAACACAUCCAAAUGCCUGAUGACUAUGACUGGUUAGUAGUGGGCGACUUCAAUCUCAUUCGGGAUCCAUCUAAUAGAAAUAAACCAGGUGGUAAUUACAGCGACAUGUUCAUGUUCAAUGAUGCCAUUAACACUUUGGGUUUAGUGGAAAUUCCACUAAAAUCCAAACAAUACACUUGGACCAACAAGCACCAAGUACCUCUGUUGGAGCGUCUAGACUGGUUCUUUACUUCUGCUUCUUGGACUCUUAGUCACCCAAACACAACAGCCUAUUCCUUGGUGAUGGAAACGUCAGAUCAUUCACCUUGUGUCAUCCAUGUCAGGACAGAUAUUCCAAAGGGCAAGAUUUUCAGGUUUGAGAAUUAUUGGCUGAAACAUGAUCAAUUCAUGGAUGUUGUCUCACAUGGUUGGUCAGUCCCGGUUCAAGAAUCUGAUAAGGCUAAAGCUAUCACCCAAAAAUUCAAGAACCUCAGAAGGGUUCUAAGAACAUGGAAUUCUCAACUGUCAAGCCUCAAGGGUCUAAUCUCAAAUGUGAAGUUGUCCUUAUUUUUUAUGGAAUUAAUUGAAGAAUACAGGGAUUUAACCCUCAUGGAAUGGAAUUUUAAAGUCCUUUUAUAGGAACAGUUGCAAGCCCUUCUGAAACAGAAAAAUAUAUACUGGAAACAGAGAGGAUCCAUUAAGUGGGUAAAGUUUGGGGAUGAGCCAACAAAAUUCUUUCAUGCAAAUGCAACCAUCAAGCAUAGAAAAAGCUAUAUUAGAUCCCUAGAGGACACAUCUAGAACUCCUCAGUACCAUCAUCAAGUGAAGGAGUCAAUUUUAUGGGAAGCUUUUAAGGAAAGAUUGGGUACCUCUGAGUAUAGCUCCAUGACCUUUGCCCUGCAAGAGCUCAUACAACCUUCUGCCAACUUAAGCCAUCUUGAGGAACCUUUUUCACAUGAAGAGAUCGACUCUGUAAUUAAUAACCUACCAAAUGACAAGGCACCUGGUCCGGAUGGGUUUAAUACCAAUUUCAUAAAGAGCUGUUGGCACAUAAUAAAACAGGAUUUCUAUUCUCUGUGUGAAGAAUUUCAUUCCGGCAAUGUCUGCUUACGAAGUAUAAAUGGAUCAUAUAUCACACUAAUUGCUAAAAUUGAUGGGGCAUCAAAAGUCACAGAUUACAGGCCAAUUUCUCUCCUAAACACAUCCAUGAAGAUUAUAACAAAGCUUUUGGCCAACAGGCUACAAAAGGUAUUGCAAUCACUUAUUCAUGCAAAUCAAUAUGGUUUCAUUAAAUCAAGAACCAUACAAGACUGCUUAGCCUGGGCUUUUGAGUACCUUCAUUUAUGCCACAAAUCCAGAAAAGAGAUAAUCAUACUUAAGCUUGACUUUGAGAAGGCCUUUGACAAAAUUGAACACAAAGCUAUGCUGUCAAUCAUGCAACACAAAGGUUUUGGAAGUAAAUUGAUCCAGUGGAUGGAGCAGAUAUUUGGAUCAGGCACAUCUUCCAUACUUCUGAAUGGUGUUCCUGGCAAAAGAUUCAGUUGUAAAAGAGGAGUUCAUCAGUGGGAUCCCUUAUCUCCUCUUCUAUUUGUUUUGGGAGCAGAUCUUCUACAAUCUAUACUUAAUUUUUCAAAGGAGCAAGGUCAUUUACACCUCCCUAUCCCUUUGAUAUACAGUCAGGAUUUCCCCAUCUUACAAUAUGCCGAUGAUACUCUAAUAGUUAUGGAGGGAUGCCCCAUUCAGAUCCUACACUUGAAACAGCUUCUGCAGAAUUUUGCAGUAUCUACUGGUCUCAAAGUAAACUUCUCUAAAUCCAUGAUGGUGCCUAUUAAUGUUACAGAAGAUAGAUUGCAGCUCUUAUCACAAACAUUUGGAUGUGCUACAGGUGGUUUGCCUUUUACUUACCUAGGGUUACCUUUGGGUCUCACUAAACCCAGGAUUGAAGAAUUUCUUCCAAUGGUAUCCAGAUGUGAGAGAAGAUUAGUAGCCACGUCCAAUUUUUUAUCAGAUGUAGGGAGGCUUCAGUUAACAAAUUCAAUUUUCACAGCUAUGCCCAUGUUUCAUAUGUGCACAUUCUUACUGCAUAAGACGGUGUACAAACAGGUGGAUAAAUACAGAAAGUGUUGUCUUUGGCGAAAAUCUGAUAUAAAUAAUAGGCAACCACCUAAAGCUGCCUGGGACCUGGUAUGCCGGCCAAAGAAAGAGGGUGGCCUUGGUGUUUUGAAUCUGAGAACACAAAAUGAAGCUCUUCUUUUGAAAUAUUUACACAAAUUCUUCAAUCAGGCAGAUAUUCCAUGGGUUCAUCUGAUUUGGGAGAAACAUUAUGCUGCUGGUAGACUGCCAGGACGAGUAAGAAAAGGUUUUUUUUGGUGGAGAGACAUUGUCAAACUCAUUGCUAAAUUUAAAGGUUUAGCGACAGUAACAGUAGGCAAUGGGCUAACAUGUUUACUUUGGCAUGACCUGUGGAACAAUAAGAUUCCUGCCCAAGAAUAUCCACAACUAUACUCAUUUACUAGAAAGGAUGAUAUAUCUGUCAGGCAGGCGUAUGUGCUAACAGAUUUACAACAGCUCUUCACUCUGCCUCUAACUCCACUGGCCAUGGAUCAAUUGUUACAAUUGGCUGCUGAUUUGGAAUUUAUCUCCACAAAUGAAGAGCAAGACAGCUGGACAUAUAUUUGGGGCAAUCAGCAUUUCUCCUCAUCCAAAGCAUACCAGGCACUAAUGGGACAUCAGCAUGUUCAUCCAGUUUUUCGGUGGCUUUGGAAAUCUAAAUGCCAAAGCAAACACAAGUUCUUUUUCUGGUUGCUUCUUAAAGAUAGAUUGAGUACACGGAAUGUUCUUCGAAGGAAGCAUAUGGAGUUGCCUUCUUACUCUUGUGUCUUAUGCAUGCAUAACAUAGAAGAAACAUUGUUUCAUCUUCUCUUGGAAUGUCCCUUUGCGCAGGAAUGUUGGAUCAAUAUUAGCCUGUUUGCAGAUUUGACAGAAGAGCCCUAUAAUAUCCUAAAUAGCUUCAGAAUUCAACUGCAAGUUAACUUCUUCAUGGAGGUCAUUGUUCUCAUGAGCUGGUGUAUUUGGAUGGAAAGGAAUGACUGGAUUUUUAAGGGAAUCACUCCAUCGGUUCAUAGUGCCAUGUCGAGAUUCAAAGUUGUCUUUACGCAGGUUAUGCUUCGCGUAAAAGAGGAAUGGAAACAACCGAUGAUAGAAUGGCUAGAACAUACUCUGUAAUCUUUAUGAUUUUUUCUCUCUCUUUCUUUGUUUCUUGAUCCGUUAUACACAUUUUGUUUGAUCUUUUUCUCUCUUAUAUAUAAUAUAUAAUCAGCAGGGGUCUUUCCCCUCCUGUUUCAUCAAAAAAAAAUCCUGAUCACGAGGACAGUGAGCACCGCCUCCCUUGCGAGCUCCGCGCUCGUCUCAACCUCCUGAUUGGGGUUUGUCUUCGACAUCUGUUAAAACAUGUUGAUCGAAGAGACUCAAAAUUCGAACAUGCGGAGGUUUGCGAGGCCCACGAGCAGCCCAAAUAAGAAAACAGUUCCAGCAGAAGAAUCAAGCAUCCAAUCGGCCCACCAAGCUAAUAUCCCACCACCCACCAGAAGAAUUAAGCAUGUCCUAAUAAAUGUCACUACACUGAAUCUAACCUAAACUAGGGUUUUAGGAAAACUGAGGUUUUGGAGCGUGGCUCUGUCUCUCGCCCUGCCUCGCCGUCGGCGAGAAGCUGGUCGUCGGCCGGCAAGCCGGACUUUAUUGACUGCCGAGCGGAGGACCUGUGUGCUACUGUGCUCUAUGUAUGCCAAUCCGGCCAAUGGAAAUAAUUAUCCUGUCAAUUGUUUCCGCUUUCAUUGAGUAGCUAAUGACUUGUUUCACAAAAAACUAUCAGGGUGGACAAUCAGGGGCUGUUAGGAUUGGUUCUGGUCACUCUUGAGCAUAGUUCAACUCACAACCUAGGGCAUUGAAUUAUCUUUUUAUUGUGAAAUGUUUGACCAUAAUUUUCCAAAUAGCUUUCCAAUGUGACAGUUUCAAACACAGUCAGUUGAAUACUUGAAAAGGAGAGCUUCUAAAAGGUUCAAUAUAUAUAAUCAGGAAAACCAAAGUUAUGAGGAAGUUCAACGUUUAGAUUGGGGGUUAAAACGAGGAACAUAAAAGAAAGUAAGAAACUGCUUUGUAGCCAGGAAAGCAACUUGGAGGUGAUUUGAAGCCAACUUUUAAUGUGGCAUGAUCUUCAGCGGUUGUUGUUUCUUUAAGUUGUAUAAGAGAUGAGUUUUACUUCUCAUUUUUCCACAUUCUUUCUUUCUUAACUGUACAUUUUUGCAAAUGAGGUGCGGCAUAAGAUAAGUUUCAUUUGCAUGCAUAUUUCAUCAUAAAAAAUCUUUUUUGAAAAAAAUUAUGUAAACCUGCUACCCCACGCGAGGCACCGAUGUUGUAUUUAUAUGAAAAGAAUGUGGCAGAGCCAUCGUGAAAUAUGUUGAUUUACCACCACCUUUCACCUUGACCACCACUUUCCCAAGAUAACGAAGAAAGGUUAAGGAAUCUCUCCUCCGAAACCUUAUCCUCUCACCCUCCUCGGACUCCUCCAGAAGUCUCCCGUGAAGCCCCAUAUCCCGGCCCCCUUUCCUUCCCUUGCCGGCAUUUUCACGGGCAGUGGGAAGGCCGUCCCUCUUCUUUGUAUAUUUUUUCUAAUAUAUUUAUAGUUUCUCCGGAUCCCACCCAAGCCAUGCCUCCACUGCCGCCACAGUCAUGGCCGCCGCCAUCUUGUACCUCGCCGAAAGGAUAUUUGAUGUCGACUAGAGGGGGUUGAAUAGUCAUUACUAAAAUUUACAACAACUUAAACAAAUUCUUCAGUAAAGAGCAGAGAUAACAGAGAUUUGGGAAACUCUAUACUGAUUCGGAGAUUCCACAAAAAUCUCUGGUAACUCCAGAAUUUUUUCACUAAAUGGAACUAUCAGUUAGGCAAACCUCCACCAAUUUGAAAUCUGUGAAACACCAAGAUUCAAGAGGUGUAGAUCCACUUAUAUCACCAACCAAACUCAGCCCAAACCCUAGAAACAGAUGAAUAUGAACGACAAACAAGCAAAGCUAGGAUUCAAGCAUAAAGACAUAAGGAUUUAGUUACUGGAGUUCAGCUCCCACACAAGUGAACCUAUGUCUUCGUUGUGUGGCCCAUGAAGGAUGGAUUUGUCCACCUAAACCAGUUUUUCACUCUAGGAUUCAAAGAUCUUAGAGUUUAUACUUCAAAGGUAAUACAAACUUCCCGGACCAACCACAAUCAAGUUGGAGCUCAACCACAAUCAAGUUGGAGCUCCCGGGCAAUGCCUAGCCAUCUAGGAGUAGCUCCAAGAGUAACUUCGUCCAAUCACCAUGAUCGUCAUGCUUGAUUAACACAUGUCCAUCACUUGAUAAAACAUUAAUUUUUCAAGCAUUUUGUCAUCAAUAACACAAAACCCACUUCGGGAGGUCAUGUGCACUUUCACUCACCUUCGCCGGUGAGGUCCCUGCUGGUGCUUUUUUUGCUGGAGCUGCUCAGGUACGGGAUAAAAUAAAUUCCCUACCCCACUAGCCCAAUCUGUUUGUCUCCACCGUGUUCUUGGUGGAACUCCUCCCUAUCGCCUAAAAUCAUGCUAGAGCCCAGGUGGAUUCGGUCGAUCCUUUGGCUUCUUAGGCGAUUUCAUCUGUUUGCACUUCAAAUCGGGUCCCCCUCAGUCCGUCGGCGUCUCUGUUGCUUCCGGGUAGCUUCGGUCAUGCCUCCGCAUUGCCCAACCUCCUAUUGCAGAAGCUAUGUGUGUCUCCCUCUUCUGGUCCCUGUGGGCCUCCAUUGCCCGUCGUGCUAUGAGCCUUCCACUGACUCUGAUUAAGUUGUCUCCUUCCCGUCGGCGUCGUCUUCAUCCUCGUCUUUGGGUCGCCGGCGACGUUCUUCACUGACGGCUUCUUCAUCCACUUCAAUCCUCCUUGUGAGGACUCUUCACAUUGGCCCCAAGCGUCUUCAUGCAUGGGUCCAUGGUGACGCUGACACCUCCGGUGGCCCUCGCCGGCGAGCUUCUCAGCGGCGACGUUGUCGGUUUGCUUCCAUGCUUUGUGGCCUAUCUUGUUUGGGUCCAAUCUGUAACUGGCUCCUCUUUGGAGGGCCUCUUUAUAAGUGUGCUGCUGCAAUAAUAUAUUUUCUCUGGUUUUUAUAAAAAAUAAAGAUAACAAAGAAAAAAAUUCACAUUGUUUGUCAACUACGCACCAUGCAGAAUGAUGAGGGAAACAGGGAUCGAUGGAUCCGUUUGCUGCUUUUUCAAAACAAAGUUAACUAGCUGAAGUGGAUUUCAUUCUUGGGAUCAGAUCAGACUUGUGAUCUCAUCUAAAAAAAAUGUGAAUCAAAGAGUUGUAGAUCUCGUCAAACUCUAUAAUCUUCAUAUGAAUUUUAUUUUCAUCCAAGUUAAUAUAAAAAAGUUAUGAUUUUUUAAAGAUGCGCUGUGUGAACAUCUCAUCCAAUGACUAAAAAUAGAGGUAUGCAAAAAAGUAGCUAAAUUAAUCUUAGUUUACGACCAUAUGCUUUUCAUGAUUUGGCAACAUUAUUUUCUUUACAUCCAACAUGUACUUUAGAUUAGUUUUCAAAAUGGAAGAGGUGGUUAAUUUGUAUAUAGAUUUAGUGGUUACCUGCUUGGGCUAUUUUUACAGUGACAGAGGUAGGUAAUAAUUUUCAAAAAAUAUAACAUAUCCAAUGAUUGUGAUAAUUAGAACAUACUGGAUUUAUGUCUAGAUGCUUUUGGUUUUUAUAAGACAAGUCCUAGACUACUAAGUAAUUCUUGUGCAGCUGCACAAGAGCCCUCGCCCCCUCUUGGUGAAAGAGUCAGUGAUGAGGAAUGCAGCUGCCCAAUGCCAGCAUGGCAGCAUCAACGACAGAGGAGGAGGCAGCCGCCGGCAGGUUGCACUGGCGCGAGCCUUGCUGCAGCCAACCUCUAAUUGUCAUCCUCCAUCAAAAUGAAGCUGUAAGCUCCCACCAGAGGAUUACUUCGGCCGCCGCCACCGUCGAUCACAAUCCAUGUUCUCGAACCGGCGGUGCCCAGAGACACGGAGGAAGCAUGCUGGUUAGAUGCAUCUUGUUUAUAGGACCUCACUUAUUCGUCUGCAUUUAGUUUUCUACAGACUUCUCCUGAUGCCCCUCGAUCCCAGUCUUCUACCUUUGUUCCUUGCUGGUUUUGAUCUUAGUCAGAUAUUGAUACAUCUGCAAGUAGCUGGGCACCCUCUACUACGCUAGCUUACACAUGCACACUAGCAAGCGCAGAACCUUGUUCUCAAUCGUAUAUAUUGUAUACUAGAUCGGCCUUUAUGCAUCUGAUACAGAUUAAUGCAUAUAGAAUAGAUACUCAUAGGUUGUAUCAGAGAAAUGUUAUAUUUUUACUCAAUAAAGUUUCAAACUCUCACAAUUGAAGGAAAUGCAACGCACAUCUCUGUCACUAUAUAUAGUAGAAACAAUGGUGGCCUUUUGCUGGAUUUUUGUCAUUUUGGGCCUUUUGAUCGGUAAUGGUUGAUACAGUGUAAUAUGUACAUAAACAUUUUGGGCCUGCAAAGUUUACUUCUCUUCUUUUGAAGUGCUUGUCGAUAAUAUCAGUUGUAAAAUUUCAGAAAACAAAACUGAUGUAGGUUUGAUUGUGCUUUGCUACAAAUAAGAUUAAAGUUUAAUUCAUACAGAUCUUACCAGAGGGUAUUAAAGAUGCUUGUUCUUUGUAUUUGGAUUAUAUACACUUGGAAGUAACAUUGUAGCGGGCUCAAAAAAUUUCAUGGUGGAUGGGCAUCAAUGAGUUCUAGUUUUCAAUAGCCCUUGCAAAAAGCAGCCAACAUAGGUUUACUGUUUUCAUGAAAAAUAUGAGGUUACCAAUCGCAUUUGAUUUGAAUGUGUAUCACCAAUGUAGCGCAAGACUUAUAUGUGCCCUGAUCUCAAAUUGAUGUGAUGCCAUCUCAAAUUGAACUUCAAUUUGAGAUCACCAACAGAUGAUGGUACUUGUGCAGAGCGAACUGUUUUAAGCUUCAGCCCUGUGAUGCCUAAUUGCUGAGUAUACAAAAUCAUUGUCCUUUAUUUGGUUUGCUCUGAACUUUCCUGAUGUGUGACUUGCUUGUAUAAGAAGCUGGAAGAAAUAUGUCUCCUUGCGUGUAUAAGAAGCUGAGAGAACUUUUGUUAUUAUGCACGUAUCAGGUGACAGAGUAACAAAAUCGCAAAUGAGCGGCAUCAGGAAACACCAACUGACUGUGUUCCACCUCGCUACAACCGACAGUGAAUGAGUCAGCCAUGCAAAUACUUGCAAACGAGCCCCAGGCAAUCUGUUGUCUCGCUUGGCAGGAGCAAAAAGAAAAGGCAAACAGUGUCCAUAUUUGAUUGGUAACCCUGCUUGGGCUAGGAGUUCUAAGAGCUGAUAAUUAGUGUUUAAGCAAUAAUUAGUGUGCCUUGUUAUAUCGUAAAGUAAUAUUUACAACCUUAUAUAGCACGCCAAUGGCUUGUUUGAAAAGAUAAAUUUGAAUGUUUCAUAUCAUUUUAUAAUUUGAGUUCAUUUGAAAUUGAAAAAUAAAUGAAAAAGAACUCCUCUCUUUUUGUUUUUUUUCCCUUCCUACUGUUUCUUCUCCUUUACUUAUUCUCCCUUAUCUGUUUUUUCCCCCUUAGAGCAGCUCCAGUCCUACAGCGAACCAAACUGACAGAAUUCGCUUUGGUUGACUUCAGUUCAUGAGCUCCAGUGCUGCAUCUGGCGUGCUGCCCAGAGCAAAUAAAAAAAAAAUUCAAAGUUGCUUGGUGACUGAGCUCCAUGCAUGCGCAGGACGCCCGCCCAGUUCUGUUCAUGAAAUAUUUUAAUCGGAGCAGCGCAGCAUGGUUCGAAUGGUCUGCAAACGUCGAUUUUGAUUCUGACAUCGAGACGUCGACUGCUCUAGUGUACUCUGUUCGGUUAAACCGAACCGUGCUCUCUCACCAGAUGCUGCUUCGAUCCUUAAUCCUCUUCCUCCGUCUCUUUCUUCCCCGCCGCAAGCCCGUCCCUCCGUCGGUCCGUCCCAGCAGGCAGCAGGGCUGGUGCUGCCCAGCUCUCGCGCCGCUCGGGCCCUGCAGCGCCGCACAGCUCUGCCGUCCCUCUGGCCCCUCGUCUCGCCGCGUUGCUCCGGCCCCUGCGCCGCCACGCCUCGCCGCGCUGCUUCGGCCCCUGCGCCGCCGGCAACCUCCGCCCAGCCUUCCCGUCGCCCUUCGCCUCCCUCCCCCACCUCUUGCUGCCGGCCGCGGCAUGUCGUCCUCUGCUGUGGCGCUCCACCUACAGGCCACUCCCGAGGACAUGGAUGACAAACGAUGGGAAGGAGCUGCGGGGAGCAUUUUUUUUUUUCGGCUCCCUUCCCGUGGAAUGGCUCCACUCAACGCAAUUUGCGGAGCUUCUCCACUGAAGCCGUUCGCGUCUCGCCGUUUGGUAGAGCUUCACGAGCAGCCAUUGAAGAAGCCGAAGCCGGAGCUCUCCCAAAGAGAGCCGUAGUAUGGUGUAGUCGAGUCACCUAGCCUGACCGGCCCAAAAAUAGAUAGGAUUUCUGUUACAGAAAAAAACUAACUGCACAUAGCCUUUUGUCAAACUGACUAAAGCCUGCAAAAUCAAUUGUAGUACUUACUUUGCUAUAUCCUAGAGAAAUUGUUAAACUGAAUGAACGGCUAGAAUGGAAGCUUGAUUCGUGGCAUGCCGUGAACAGGCCUAGCCGUGGGGUAGGGCGAGCGGGGCAGCCGCCCAAGACCCCACGGCUGGGAAAAGCCCCACUGAUUGGCUUAGGAAUAAACAAUAUAUGCAUACCAGUAAAUAAAUGUAGCUAAUAUGCUGCUAUUCAGUACUAGCAGCUAACAACACGAAGCAUUCUUGUAACCGGUUAUAUGCUCCAUCCUUUUGCUGGUGAUGUCCAAGACUGUUAAUCGAACAUGCGGAUAUUAUGCUAUGUGCAAUGAUAAUGAUAAGAAUAGAAGCUAAUGCAUGCCUUAAUAGAUUUAAAAAUCAUUUUAUUUGGCCCGUUCCACUAAUAUCUUCACGCAUUUUUUAUGCUAUCCUGAAUGUAUUAAUAUCUCUAUUUACACUUUACUUUUGAAAAAAACAACUAUAUAUGUACUAAAUUGUCUUAACAUAUAACAGAGCACAUAGAAUGAGUAUGCGUGUGUACAUUAACUUCUGCUUCUACACUAUUUUCACAAAAAUAUGAUAAAGAAUUAGUGUUUAUUUUAGAAAUGAUUGAGGUGAUCCAUAAAUAUAUACUAGCCGCGGAAAAUUUGGUAACAUCAAGCAGCUGAACAUCUCAAAUUUUGCAAAGGAAAAUGCAUGAGGCCAGGCUGUUUAUUUCAGAUAAAAUUUAGUUCUAGUUCAUGUAGAGAACUAUGAAUUCCCUUUCGAGUUGCCAACAAAAGAACAUUAUCGUAGUUUAAUCCUAUUUUCGUGCAUGCUUUGUGGGACGGAAGGAGUACAACAGAAGCAUGGUCCUGCGCUGGCACCUCCUAAUAAAAAAAGAAAGGCUUUUUGUGCGCUAGUUCAGCAUGUGCUGUACUGUACAUGGGCUGCUUUUAAGCAAGCACUACAAAACAUGCCGAUCCAUGGACGUGAAUCACCUAACAAAUUUUCUAGGCAGCUCUUGAUCGCCAUGUCCCAGCCUGCCUCGAUACCAAUGCUUUGCAUCCGUAAUAUUGUUGUUCGAGAGAAAGAAGCAGGCAUGGAGGCAAAGCUAAAAAUGGAAGAGAUCAGAGAGUAUUGCAUGCGUGGUAUGUACGUGCAGUGAGAUACAGACAGUCAUUCUGCGUUAAAACGUUGAGUUUGUUCUUGAACAUCAUAUUGUGAUGACGAUGUAAAUUAGGGAGAAAAGUGCUAGGCAUUAGAAGCAUCGAGAAUGGGUGAAGUUAAUCCUUGUGAUAGGAGGCUUCGUCAUAGAACUUCCAGGCCGCCUAAAACUGUUGUUAGACCACGUGUUUGGACAGAACAACAAAACUCAAAGGAAGCAUCUGCAUGUUAGCAAACAUGCGGUGGACAGGUACUCAUAGAUUCAUAGCAUAUAACUUUUCUUUGAGACAUGCAGUACCUCCCCUAUCCUUUUUGGAUCUGAUUAGCUUCCAUUACGUACCACAGCUCUGCUUAUGGCUCUGAUUUUAUUAUCCUGCCCUGACAACCUAAACAUAUUGAUAGGACAGCAUCACUUCCCUGUUGCCGUGUUCAUCAAUACAUAUAGAUUCAUGAAUUUUCAUGACUGGAUGUAGUGAAUAUGCACACGAGCUUAGCGAGCAAAGACAUGAGCCACUCAUCAGAAAUCGGCUCGUGCUGCAACACUAUAUGCAACCAAUUUGUCUUGAUUUUAGUCAUUUCUAACGGUGUGGGGAUGAGAGACACCAUGGAAAAUAGAGGCGCCAAAACCUUCGAUGCCACCGAGUUCAAACACUAUAUAGACAGGAUUAUUUGUAGGAGCCGGCCAGGGAAAUAAGUAGCCUUGUGUAAGUAACUAAGUCUGAAGAUUUGUCUCAUUCUUUGUGUAUGCAGCGCAGACUAGUUGGGCAAAACGCUAUAACAUGUUUCAAUCAUCCACCAGUACCUAAAAAUACAUUGUUUUCCAUACUAAAAAAAUGAACUCUACACAUAUAUACAGUGCUUGUAAAACAUUCUGAUGCUUUCCUGCUAGCUAUAGCGUCUCAUCAAUUUAUUUUUAUUGGUUUUUUUGUUAUUUCUCGGUUCAUUAGCAAGUUCAUUUCCUGCAGGUGUAUAUACAACCCAUACUAGCUUCCACCAUCUGCUCACUAAUGCGAAGCGAAUGAAAAACUAAGAAAAAUAAAGAUAUAUGCAUUAAUCGGGAAUGAGUGGCCGUGGAAAAUCCUUUCAGCAGUAGCUUCCCUCCUUGUGGCAAUCGGGUUGUUUCUGGCCCUGUGAGAAGACAAAUGUUGCUUAUGGGUGUGUGGCAUUGCGCCCAUUAUUCCACCAAAAAAUAACUGACGACUUGUUUAUGUGUUGGCAUUUCUUCCUGAGUUCAUCUCGGAGUUCAACAUGGCCACGAGUCUUAAAACUCUGGGAGGAAGUUAAAGAUCUACUUGGAAACAUUGAAGUCAAUGGGGGUGAAGAGAUUCGCCAGCUUGAGGUACCAGUGGACGAUCUAGCACAAUGCAAAUUGGUCGAUGGAGUGGAUUGUAAAAUAAAGAUCGGAUUGUUUAAAUUCAUCAGUUGGUCAAUUUGAAAAGUAGUUGAGCUAUCUGCAAGGAAAAACCAUGAGGCCUACGUAGGACUCUUGGAGACAGAGUUUGGUAGAACUGACUUUGCUUUUCUUUGAGACAGGAAGACAGAGGAGAUGUCAUCUUUGGAUUUUCGGACAAGCUAGCAGGCUCACAAAUCAAUGGUCCUUGUGUCCUCCAGGUGCAGGAGAUUGGGCUUAAUGCACUCCAGAGAGCAGGUUCUGCCGAUGAGCUUCUCCGCGGUCCAAGCAGGCCCACAAAUCAAUGGUCCUUGUGUCCUCCUUGGCAUGUCGCCGAUGGGUGAACUUGAUGAGGAAUCUCACCUCUGCUUGCUGCAGGCGGACCUCAACAAGGACAACUGCCUUCAUCUCCCGGGUGCCCGUGGAGGCAAGCGCACUCAUGACCAUGACCACCAGCACCGUCCCCUUCCAUUCGUGCACUUCAUUCAACAGGUCCAAGGAGGACGACACUAAGAAGUUAUCCUCAAGCCUUCCAGCCUGCACUUCCCAAUCGUUGCCAACUAGUAGAGAUCAGCCACAAGGUCAUCUGGAUGAAGCAUGUGCAUUGCUUUUCUGCCGGGUAUCUCUGCAAAAGCACGUACGGAUACGCUGAGGCCAUCUUCGAUAGUACAAUCAGCUCACCCAGGAAAUAAAAAUUGCACCGUAACACAUCCUGUUGCUGCGUACUCGACGUGCAUCACACCCAUUUAGCUCUUGUACAAUGAUCUUCUCAGUGUCUAUAUGUAUUGCUUUCUUGCAUAGGUCCGAGCAUUUCGAUUAGGAAAAAACAAAUGAUGUACGCAAUCUGAGCCGGAGAGGCGGAGAAGGGACAAACGCAUCAAGGUUGUAGGGAAUGAGAGGUACUGGGAAAAAUUGAGGUGUAGUUUUGGCACUUUUCAUUUUCUAUUUGGACAUCCCAGCCACGUCCUAGCAGCGUGUAAUGAGCACGACAGUCAGCACUAGCAAUUGGGAAGGCAACUGUUAGGCACACGGUACAAAUAAGAUAGCAAGCUGCGUAUGCCGAACAGGGGACAAAAUAUUUCUCUGCAUACAAACAGUCCUUUUUGUGUUCUAUAUGAUAUUUCCAUGCAGAACAUACAUUUCUUGAGAAAUAGUGUAUCACCGAAAUGAGCUGUUUAGGGAAUUCAUGAUCAAUUUUCCCAUCUCAAAUGGAAGGCAACAAAUACGCCAAAUGUUCAGAAGAAAUGCUUACUUUUUUUUCCUCUUGGGCGAAUUCAGACAUAUUUUCUUACCUGCACAUAAUUUUACAAGGGGAGUAACACUGGUCCUGUCCUGUUCACAUUAACUAUGAGCUAACACCACAUCUACUUUUGUUCGACAUAUUGAUUACUUACACAGUGCCCUUUCUUCUAUAUAUACUGCCAGUUUUUCUCAACUAUAUGGUUGCCAACAGAUAACAGAGGACUAGCCGGAAGAGAGGAUUACGUUCUUCUGUUCUCCAAUGAUGAGUAGUUAUAUACUGUUUCGAUGACAUUGGAAUACAGCUCGGGAAUGAGCGGCAUCAAGGAAAAUACUUUUACUUGAAUACCCCAUUGUCUAGUGAUGAAAUAGGGUACGUAGUCACAACGUAGUGAUGAAAUACUUUUACAUGCUUUCAAGAUCCGUAAUGCAUCCAGGCUUCAAUGGAAACAAGUUAUAUGCUUGGUGAUGAAACUGUAUUAAUCUUUUUAGACAAUGGGAUAGUCUAUUUCGUUAAGGAAAUGGUAGACAAUUUAAAUAAUACGCUACUAAAUUGGAAUAUCAAGUGCAAUUAUAAAAACAAUUCAAUUUAGUAACAUGAAUUACAUGAUGAGAAUACUUUUUUUCCAAAUAAAAAACAUAAAAAGUGAAGUUGGGUAAUUAGGACAUUUUUUGUGAGAGCCAGGUAAGAUACAGUUUGGACGUUCAGAGCCUUUUUAUAGGCAUACAGAAUGAAUAAAGUUCGUGUAGGAAGGCACACGCACAGAUGCUGGCCCAAUCCUUACAUGGACAAUUAUCUCCAUAAAGAAAUACCAUCAAGUACAGCGAGACAAAUACUGAGCCUUGAACAACUAAUUUGGAGAUGAUGAUACCGUGCAAAGUUAGGAGACUGCUCUUCCCCUCAAUCCACUCUUGAGUUUCAGUACAUAAUUAUUUUUAUUUGAGCAAUCACUCCAACAUUGCUUAUGGCUACCAGCGCAUAAAUUCUGUCCACUCUGAAUUUCAGUACUUAUAUAUCCAUCCAUUUGGGGCUUAAUUAGGGAGAGGGAGAGGGAGAGAGAGCUUUGUCACAUUAUGCAAAUAGAAGCUCAUGGCAUCGCUAGGAACAUUGGAAAUGAGUGGCAUCAGGGAAAACUGAAUGACUCCAUGCACUAUGCACAGUGUAUGCGAGAACUUAGAGACACCGGAGGUUGCAUUCAUCAGGCGUGUUAUUGCCACCAUCCGCAACCUCAUCUCCCUGAUAGUUUGACCCAGCUAAACAAGAGGCCACUGUCGCUGCUGCCCAACUGCUAGGUUGUCGCCAAGAACCUAAGAGGCCUCAUCCUCCCUCGAUCUCACUUGCUUAGGGAACAGUAUCAUGUAACAAACUAAGGCUCCGCUAUCAAUUUAUCAAGAUGUGAAAUUUAAAUCACCUGUGCUUUCCUAACCUUAUCUGCCAAUGGAUGUGAAUUUGGCCCUGUCAAUUCCCUUCUUCUAUGGUGGGAACUAUGUGCUAUGUGAUAUGUUUAUCUGCUACGCUGUGCUUCUUCCUGCCACCCAGAAUCUCACAAACCUACUGUAUUACAUACCAGUACAUUAUAUUUAUCCCAGCUUUGGGCGGUUUGCUCGUUGACUGAAAGAAUUUAACUCGCAUUGAAUUUCAGUUAACACAACACCUCUACUUUUUUUUGACACAUUGUUUUCUUAUAACUUCCUUUUCAUCUAUAUAUACUAGUUAUUCUAAUCAUUGUAUGCCAAGAAAAAAGAGAAGUAUGAAGAUGAAAAGCAUCAGUUUUACAUUCUUUAGUGAAGAAAGGAAAGCUCGCUACGAUGCUAAUAUGGUAUGGUCUACACAUUGUGAAUGAGUGGCACCAAGGAAGAUACUUUCGCUUGGUUGAUGUGCGCCUUGUGAGAAAAGAUCCUUGCAAGCAGACACGCACUUGACCAUUCGGAAUCGGGAAACAGAGAAUGAUCACAAUCCCAACUCCAUCCACAGUUCACUGGCAGCAUCCUAGUGUGACAGUUUGAGGCUGUGCAGCAUCGAAAUAAGCACUUCAGUUGAUCGGCAUACCCAAGUGAGCAUUUUGCCUAAAACUUUACUUGAUUGCCAAAGUAGACAUGUAAAAUCCUGUGUAAAUUGCUUAAAAUGGAGUACCCUGCCCCGUUCCUCUGUUUUCCCAUCACCACUGUUCUGUUCGUUAAUUUCCCCACAAUCUUCUUAUUGCCAGUUUUCUCUGGUACCCAAUUUAUUUGUAAAAAAUCCAUAAAAAGGAAGAUGUACUUCAUAUAGUAUCAUCACUUCUAUUUUGUAGUCCAUGAUAACUUAUCUAGAAUAGGCCUCUGUAUUGGUCAGAGUAUCUCUAGUGCCACCACAUAAUAUUUCAGUUAUUAAGGCAGUCAGAUGCACUUCCAUAUCACUGCAUCUAACACUUCUCUUCAUUAAUGCUCUUGUAUAUCCCAUAUAACUUUGAGUUAACAACACACCUAAUAUGUGUGACAUGCUUUCUUGCUACUUUACUUCCCCUUCUCAGUUGGCUUGAUCCACAUGGGCUUCUAGAACUUAUAUAAAUCAUUCAGUGUUGGAUGUGAAGGAAACAUAUAGGAGGCUAAAAAAGGUGAGACAGAUGAAAUCCUAAUUUCUCAUCCGGAUGUAUGGUUGAGAGACCUGUUAUGAAAAUAACAUGUCACAGAAGGAGAGGAUGGCAACGUUUGAAAUGAGGGGCAUUAGGAAAAACCAAGGUGCUGCGAUGCGCAGAGUGCGACGUAUAGGUUUACCGUUUACGUACUCCUGCCUCUCUCCCUUGGAACAACUCCGGCUCACAACCUAGAAGAUCUAGCAUUUAUCCUCGGGUUUUGGGAUCGAGCGCGCAUCAGAUUCGAGCUUGGGUACGGUGUCUCGCGAGCUUCUUACGGAACAGCAACCUACUCUGGAAACUCACCAGCAUGGAGUUUUCAGGUGGACCUGCUAUGAUGCCAUGCGAUGAACGAUGGGUGGAAAAGGGUCUGGCAAGGCAUCCAACGUGACUCUCCUCUUCCUGCCUCCCCUUGAGCCGGUUUUAGCGCUGAAUAGUAAUCUAGAGGAGAACUGUAGGAUGUCUGCAAACUCCUCUAGAAGAGCUCUUUUACGAUGCACAAUACUACCAGGUGGUAGUAUAGAGUACAGAUCCUUUUUUAGCAUGGGUAAAAUUGUAAUUAGUAUGUAUAUAUUAUUUGGAGAUUUUUUUUCCGCGAGCCCUUCUCCCCACGCGCCGCCAGUCCCCCCACGUCCGCGCCUAGGCGCACCGCCGCACCCCGCGCCCCCGGAACCCUCGGCGGCUGGUGCUGACACUGACGACUUCCUGCCGGCUCAGGCUGCGCGUGGCGACGACGUGCUGUUUGAGCUUCACUCCCACUCAAACCACAGCGACGGCUUCCUCUCCCCCACCGCGUUCGUCGAGCGCGCCCACCGCAACGGGGUAAGUGAAUGAAUCCUGAAUGGCCUCUAGUCCGUUUGCCCGCUAGGUGUUUGAGGAAAUGCUUGUGACGUUUGUUCGGCGGCGUUGUAUUGUGCUUUCUGGAAUUCUACUUCGAUGGCCUCAUCGUCUUUAGCUGUGAUGCUUAUCCGAGCAUUGCGUUUGUUGUACCUGCCAGUGUGCCGUGUGCGUAGCUGUUCCCCGUCUUAUAGGACUGUUCCCCGUCUUAGUAUCUGGAUGACAGUGCUGCACUGGUGACUACAUUAUCUAACAGGGAAGCAGUUUCCUUGGAUGUUUCAACUCCCCUCUGAUGAUCGGUUUGUUUAAAUUUGAAUGAAGCUGUCAUCAUUGGUUAGUUCAGACGGUGUAUUGCUUAGCUAAUUGCUGCUGAAAAAAAUGAUUGAGAUGCACUAGUGCCUGUUUCCCCUUGAAAUGUUUUAUGGAUUAUAUACCAUAACCUACCUCCUAAAGUUUGGGUUUGGUUGUGUGCUGUUUAAAAGUUAUAUAUUGAUGGGCACAUAUUGCAAAUCUUGGAGUGACUAAACUAUAUAUGUUUGUGGCGUAGGUGAAAGUUCUUGCCCUAACAGAUCACGACACUAUGGCUGGCAUACCAGAAGCUGUUUCAGCAGCUUCCAAGUUCGGCAUUAGAAUAAUUCCUGGAGUUGAAAUCAGUGCGCUGUAUAAUCCAAGGUAAGUGCCCUUUAGCUUUUAGAGAAGAGAGCUUUUUCUAUUGUGUUUUGAAUAAAAAUCAUCAAUUGCAUGCAGCUUAAUGAAUCAAGCAUCCUGUCGUUGCGGACUCUCAUAAUUAGAUCUGCAAUAUUGUUUUAAUGCUCCAUUGCCUGUCUAAUAAAAUGAUACUGUAAACAACAUUUAAGCAGUUGUAUUAUGACUAGGGAUAUUUCAUAUGAUGAUUCAUUAUAUUAUGAAUUUCAUUUUCUAUAAGGGCCUGUUUGUUUCAUUGGAAUUGGCUGGAAUUGGAAUUAAUUUCCAAAGUCAUCUUGUUUGGCUGCUCCCGGAAUUGGAAAGAGGGAUUCCUGAGGAUUCCAUCUUCCCUUCCCCACAUUCCGAGCAAAAUAUCAGGAAACUGAUUCCCCCCCCCGAGGCCCCGACUCCUCUCCCCCACUCGCCUGCUCCCGACGCCUCCCGACUCGCCCCUGUGCCGCCGCCCCCUACUCCGCGCCGCCACCUCCCGCGCCGCCGCCUCCUCCUCCGGCGCCCCCUCCGCCAGCCCCUCCUCCGCCACCCCUGAAUCCGCGCCGCCGCCGCCGCCCCCAGCCAACCCGCCCGCACCCCGUUCCACCCGCUCGCCUCCGCCCCCGUUCCUCCGCCGCCCCCUCCUCCACUUCUCCACCGCCCCCUCCUCCACUUCCUCCGCCGGCCCCCUCCUCCGCUGCCCCCUCCUCCGUCGACCCCCUCCACUUCCUGAGAAGGAUCUCCAGAGCCGGCACAGAGUCCUGCCUGGUGAGUCCUGCAGAUCUAAGUUUUAACCUUGCUAGUUUUAAGCUUGCGGUGAGUCGGAUGUGCUGUUUGCCUUGGAUGUGCUGUUUGCCUAGGUUCAAUUACUGAAACUAGUGUCAAAAUCAAUAGGUAGUGCAGUGCAAAUUACUAGAGCGAUGCAACUCUCUGGUUGAUAUUGGCUUUUUUACCCAUCUUCCUGUUAUAUAUUUGUUUACAUUGGUCCUUUUCUUCCUGUUAUAUACACUGGGAUUCAUGCUGGGCUAUUUGAAAUAUUAAAGCAUGGUACGGAGUGACCUGGAUGAGUUUGUCUUAUGUGCAUUUUUCUUUCCCAGUUCCAAUCACUCUGUGCCUCCAUGUUAGUUUUCUUCAGUGACAUGGGAAGCUUAAUGCGGUGUCUAACCUUGUAAUUGAUACAUGUCAGUGUCAGGUAAAGCCAUGCUGUUAUUGGUAGAGAUUUAAAAUGAGUUUGUUAACGCUAGCCGUCAAUAUCUUGGAGGAAAAGGCAUCAACUCUUACCUGCUCAUAAGAAAGCAUAGCAUUUGAAAAGGAAACUAAUCUGUAAAUAGUUUGAAGCUGCAGGAUGUUCGAUCUCUGACAAGGACAUAGGACAACUGACUAAGGAAAAACACUAGUAGUGCUUCAGAAAAGCUUAUGAUUGAUGCAUGAUUAGUGUAAUUAAAUAUUAUUAGUGACAGCAGUGUAUGUUUUAGCUGUUUGGAUCCUUCCUAUCAGCACUACUUGCUUUCUGUCGCUCUUUGGAUACAGCAGGUUUCAGUCAACUCCCGGUAACUGCCUGGGAAGACAAGUUUCUUUCUCAGAGUGUAGCAUGUAGACGUUUUCUUCUAUUAUGGAUCACUUCGUACCAGAUUAUUUAAUGUUACUUAAGGCCAAUUAUUUCACUGUCUCAGAUUCUUUUCUCUUUUGUUAGCUAUUGGUUAAGGCGUUGCUGGGCGGCUUCAAGAAGGGUUCAAGGAACUGAUAUGCUGAGGCACUGAUACAUUGUAAGUUCAAAGAUUAGCGAGUGGAUCCUUAGUUGAAAAAUCAUAGUUCCUCGUGUGGACUCUUAAUUAUUGAAAGGAUGAUGUGUUGGUGACUUGUUUAGUCAGUUCUUGAAUUGCUAACUAUAUGGUUGAAAUGAUUGGAAGCAGCUCGUGUUUUGUCUUGUUCUAUUUAAAGAAACAAUUUUCUAACCAUAGAAAAUGAUGGUCCUUUAUUCUUCUGUAUACUUAAGAAUGUAUAGCUAUCUUUUUUCUGUUCCGCACAACUUCAGUAGGACUAUGUGAUUUAUAUGUGAUAUACUCUGGAUGGAACCAAUGCAAGUACUCUUUAUAAGUUUUAAGCUUGCAAGUACUCUUUAGCCAUGAGCUGUCUUGAGUCAGAAAUAUCUACCAUACUGUCGUGAGAUGCCAUCUGUCUAUCACAGAAAUAACCUGUCUAUCAGAAAUAGUACCAUCAGUGUCGCAAUAGAAAUAACUUGCCUUCUGUCUAUCACAGAAAAUAGAGUGCUCUGCUUGUUUGUUAUCUAACUCCAUUAACAGCUUAAAAAAUGUUAAUACUGUAGAUUGCUCCUAGCAGGAAUGGUAUUGUGAGCAUCCAAACAAGCUAGAAAUGGUCGGCUUAAUUCUGUUAGUUAUUGUGUUAUCAUCAAGGAGUUGUCUGGUUAUUGUGUUAUCAUCACUCAGAACUUGACAUCUCCAACUAUAAAGGCAGUUAGUUAUUGUGUUAUCAUCAAGGAGUUGUCUGGUUCAGUAUUGAGAUGCAUUCUGUUUUUUGGACCUGUUGAGUGCAUUCUGUUUUUUGGACCUUGAACCUUGUUGAGUGCAUUCUGUUAGCACAAGAACUUGACAUAACCUUUUUAACACAAGAAGUUACUGAUUAUCCAAAAUAGUUACUGAUUAUCCAAAAUAUUCCUUUUUGCAUAUGUGCAUAGGAUCAUUAAUGCUUGCUGCAUAUUGCACAACUUUGUAAUUGAUAGACAGAGAGAUAUGGAUGAUUUACUUAUACACCAAGUUGAUCAAGUAAUAUCUUUUGAACCUCAUGAAGUUCAAAGUGAAGUGGGUAUGAUUACUAAUGUUCAAUCAACAAAUGAAUGGAGCAAUUUUAGGGAUACCAAAGCUAACCAAAUGUUUGCUGAUUACCAAGCAAGAUGUGGUCAAUGUAUGAUAAAUUCUAUCAUCAAUGCAUGCUUAAACUUAUGAUAUUUGGUUUUGCUCCUAAUAUUUUACUAAUAACCUUUUGUGAACAUUUUUCCUGUAGGAUAUGGAGAAGGGCAAGAAGUCAGGCUCGGGCAGGGGUUACAUUUCUUGGAAUGAUGACAUGGACAAGGCUCUUCUUGACACAUUUGUGGAGUACUAUAACAAGGGUGACAGAUGCCAGAAUGGGUGAAAGUCUCAUGUCUAUACAGCUGCUAUCAAGAAUGUCCGAGAAAAGUGUAAUGUGGAUAUCUCAAAAGACAAUAUCAUGGCGAGGAACAAGACCUUUGACAAACAUUACACUAUCAUCAAUGGUAUGCUGGAAUCAAGUGGAUUUGGUUGGGAUUGGAACAAAAAUAAAAUAUCUGUUGAUAAUGAUGCUGUAUGGGAAGAAUAUGUGGCGGUAAGUUUCAAAAACCACUUAUUUACUUAAAUUUGUUCUUUUGUGCACUCAUGUUAAGCCUUAAGCCUACUUUUCCUUAUGCGCUAUAUUUGGUAUAAAAUGAUGUAAGGUCUGUGUUGCUUAUGGUUGUUCUAAUUGAUCUUUCCAUUGCUUUAUCACGUGGCGUAGCCAUAGAGGAAGUGCACUGAUGAGUUAACUAGUUAGCCUUACCUUGUGUUUCUGCCGUUUUGGUCGUUUAACUUUUGUGAAGUAUGACCAAAUUAUCAGAGCUGAGGUGUUCUUUUGCAACUUGGUAGUUUUUCGUGCUGAACUGCACCGUGGACUUGACUGUUCUUUGUCGAGCAGUAAUUUGGUUGGUUUUAAGCUGCUUCUAGAGUUGGUUGAACUUUCCAAGUUUGUAGUCUUUUCUUACUACGUGUGGCAUGGCCAGUGGUUUAAGAAAUAAUAAACGCCAUAAUUAUAGUGCUGUUAGCUACUUACUAUAAUUCCAUUGUGAGUUCUGCCAUGGUAAUUGUCCUGGUUAGUGCCUGUUGUCAAUGUCAGGGAUUAGAAAAGACGUAAUUGGAUGAGCUCUGUCAAAACUCGUAUUGACGAUUUAGUGAAGACUUGGAUUGCCUGUUGUUAUAAUUAUAGUGCCUGUUGUUAUAAUUGCCUAUAAUUGCUCUGUCAAAAGACGUACUUACUAUAAUUGCCUGUUGUUAUAAUUAUAGUGCCUGUUGUCAAUGUCAGGGAUUGCCUGGUUAGCAACAUAUGUUUAUAUGUUCAUUGUUAUUCCGUGUGGCUUGAAGUUGGAUAUAUAUGUGUUAACCAUUUGUUUUUUUGUAGAAAAACAAAGAAGCUUCUGAUUAUAGGCACAAGACUGUCUUGUACUGGGACUCAAUCAGCUUGGUGUUUGGCAAAGACCAUGCUACCGGUGAAGCGGCAAGGACUGCAGCUGAGAGCUCAAAAGACAUGAGUAAGGAAGAUCUUAGUAACAAAGAGCCCACAUCAUCGGCAACUUCAGGAAGUUUAAAGAGGCAACGGUCAGGCGACUCUUUUACCUCUAUGAUGGCUGAAAAACUAGACAAGUUUGCUGAAGCACUAAAGGAGGAAGCCCCUAAAGGACCAACAUCAAAAGAAAUUCUAGACACACUGAAUGAAGUACAAGGAUUGGAUGAAGACACUUUGUUGGACCUAUUUGAUAUCCUGACCGGUGACGCACGCAAGUACGAGUCUCUGUUGGCGCUUCCAGAGAGGAUGAGGAAGAGGUGGCUUCUAAAACAGCUCAACAAGUGAAGAAACUAGUUCAUCUAUAUCAAGUGAUGGAUAAUAUCUAUUGAACUUGUAAUAAUAUGUAGCUCAUCUGAAAGUAUUAUCUUGUAUUUUAUGUGUAUUUUCCUAGCUGGAGGUAUGUAACUCGUGUAUGAUGUGGUUUUCUUCGAAAACAGUGCUAAGUAUUAGUCGGAAAACAGUGCUAAGUACUCAUCUUUAAUUCCUGAGAAAACAGUGCUAAGUACUCAUCUUUAAGCUAGGAAUUUCGAAGCUAUCAGAUUUAACCUAUAUUUUCCAAAGAAGUAGUUUCCUCUCUAAUCAACCAAACAAUAUUUGGAAUCUAAUUCUAGGAAUUAGUUUCUUUGUACAUCCAAACAAGAAAAUUGAAAUGAAUCUAAUUCUAUGGAAUUUAAUUCCUAUUGAAUCUAAUUGCUAGAAUGAGAUUCUUAGAAUGAGAUUCAAUUCCAUCCUAACAAACGGGCCCUAAGGGAAGUUGCCGGUGCUGGUGAGCCUGUUCAUAUCCUUGCAUACUAUGGUACAUGCGGUCCAUCAAGAUAUGAUGAGUUGUACAGCAUGCUAUUGAACAUCAGAGAUGGGAGAUACUUACGUGCAAAGAAUAUGCUGGCAAAGCUAAAUAGACUCAAGGUGACGAUAAGGUGGGAGCAUAUAACUAAAAUUGCUGGUGAGGGAGCGUGGCACCUGGUCGAUUGCAUGUAGCAAGAUCUUUGUGUUAAUAAUAGGGCCUGUGUUUUUUGCAGAGGAAGUGAACCAUUUGCUGAGACUGUUGUGCAGUUAAUUAGUCGUACUGGGGGUAUAUCUGCACUCGCUCAUCCUUGGUCAUUGAAGAACCUGGAUGAAGUAAUCAGGUCUUUAGGUGCUGGCCUUAAUGGUAUGGAGGUCUACAGAAGUGAUGGAAAGGUUGAUGGUAUGUGUGCUACACACUUACACUUUAUGCACUAUGACUUGAAAUAGAACAGAGGACUCCGGUAGUCCAGUCAUGCGCUAAAAUUUUAUUUGUUGCAUACGUUGGUCCUUCUAUUGAAAGGUUAUUUUGGUCAUUACUCAUUAUGAUAUUUUAAGUUACAUUAUAUUAUUUAUUUGUACAGGCUUUAGUGAAUUAGCCGAGAAGUAUGGACUUCUGAAACUUGGAGGUUCAGAUUUCCACGGAAGAGGCGGGAAAGAUGAAUCUGACACUGGCACGGUCAAGCUUGCUAUUACAACUUUGUGCUGUUUCUUGAAGAUGGCUAGGCCUAUCUGGUCUACUGGUAUGAAGGACAUCCUACUUAAAUUUGCAGAGGAGCCAUCUUCUGCAAAUCUAGGAAACAUAAUUAAGUUUGGACGACUUACCAAUGCUGAUGCUUUUUCUCCAAUAAACACUGGUAUUGAUGUUGUUGAUUUCUGCUUAUCUUCAUGGUCAAGCAAUGAUGACAUGGAAGAUGUUGAACUGGAGGAGGUAAGACUGAAGCUGGCCCAUUAUGCAGCAGAAAGAUGACAUCAACUACAAAGCCAUCUUGAGCAAUGUUCCCCCCCUUGUUGCAACUCAAUAUCUGUGUUUCGCCUUUUCCUUUGCAGCCGAUUAGAACUAAUAUGUUUCUUUACUAGUUGAUGACCUUGUUGAAAGUAGGUAUGCUGAAUCUGGUGGUCUUUGACAUUUUAAUCAAGAAUGUAUAUUUCAUCAUAGGGUAUCCUGAGUCUGGUCUUCCUGUAUGCUUUCUGAUGGUAUUGUCGCGGUGCUGUACUGCUGUGUACAUUGUCGUGCUUCUGUAAUAUAAUGGUUAGGCGUAGCGGUGUAUGCAUCUGCGUUUUAUUGGGCAAUGUUUCUUGUUUGGCUUGCACACAAAAAAUUUUAAUUGAUAAAGCAAUUCUCAAAUCAGUGUUUGGCCUGUGAUGUGAUAGCUAUCUAUGUGCAGGUUGUCUCACUAUCUGACCUGGCAUGGCAUGUGAUUGGUGAAAACUGGAAAAAAAAACCCUGCUUGAUGUUUCAUACACCUCAAUCUCUCUUGACAUACCCCAAUUUCGAGGAUAGAAACUGCCCAUGAGCUGCUUGGAAUUUGAAAGACAGAGACUAGACAACCAAACAAAAGCAAUUUUUAGCUUCAUUUCCUAUUACUGUGAUAAUACAUCGGAAAUUAAUUCCAAUUUCUUGAUGAGAAUGUUGCUGUUCUCCAAGUGACCUCAGUUCUCUGUUACGGUACCCUCUUUAGAAGAUUCACAAGUGCCGGAUGCAUACACACGUCUUGCGAUCACAGCCAGUGCUUCGAGUAAGAGAAGCACCCAGCUAUUUGUCAGCAAGCCACUUCACUCGCAUAUCAGAAGCCUUUGAGCUGGCCACUCAGCCCGGCUAACGCUAUCCAUUUCUCCAACGCUGUGGCUGACGACACAAACGCCGACUUGGAGGAUCCAGCAUCAAGCUUGUUCACUGCAACGAGAGGGACACACGCAUGGAACAUUUCAGAUUCAUGCCGGCAGAAAAAGCAUGGAUCACUGGAAGAUGAAUAUUCAGGUAUGUUUCAGAAAUAGAAAGUUCAGAUAAAGAUCUAGUCCUACAGAUCAUAAGACUGCACGUAUACCUGAUGUGAACAAUGAGGCCAAGGAGGCGUUGAAGCUAUCAACCGUGCUCCUAUCCUCUGGGCUCGAGCUGCACUGUUGCACAGAGAACUAAACAGGUCAAGAAAAUGUACAAGUUGAGAAGGAAAUGAAACAACUGUCUGCAGUGAAAGGGAAGCAAUUCAGGAUGGAUGAGGAAAGACUAACCUUGGAGAAAGCUGCAUUGAUGUUCUGCACCCACUGGGCAUCUGUGCUUGGACCCAGGACGUUGCUCGCGGCUGGGAGAUCGUCCUUGUCAAUGGCCUGCCUAAAUUUGCUCAACUUGUAAAUGAGGUCCUGCAAGUACCCUGUGGUUUGUAGUCAAACUACAGCAUUACUGCUAUUGCAAAGAAUCGGAGAUUUCCUCUCUCUUUUUCAGGGAAAUUUAAAAAAAACUGCAUGAGAAGAAGUGGAGGUAAAUUCACGGAAAAUGUAAAUCCACUUACUGACUGACCAGUCUCGGUGCCUGAGGCGCUGAUGAUCCCUUGCUUCUCCAGGCGCUUCUUCCUGUCCUCCUUGACGUGCUCCAGAAGCUCGAUGUCGUCGUCCUCCUCGAGCACAAGGGCCCGCGCGGGGCGGUCGGCGGCAAACGGGGAGAACGACGCCGCCAGGGCGGCGAGCACGCAUGACGCCAGGCCGCUCCGUCAGCCGACGAUGGCGGCGGCCUCACGCCGGUCCUGGCCUCCCGUUGCUGCUGACGCCUCUGAACUUGGCCCAGCAUGCUGCCGCUGGGGGAUGCUGCUGCGCUGGCAGCUCCUGCACAGCCGCCGCCGCCGCCACCGCCGCCCGUUGCAACCCUAGCGACUGAUUGUAAAUGAGGAACCUAGCGACCGAUUGGAAAUGAGAAGAUGAAUAAAAGGAAAUGUGAUGAUAAUUAAGAAAGAUUUGUUUUCCAAUCAUAUCCAUAUACUACCCAUACUACUCAUGCAUACUACCUAUACUACAACUUAAGGUUCCAGUAGUAUACAAUUAAUCUUAACCGUCCAAUCCUUACAUAUGAGUCCUUUUUGAACGGUAGUAUAGAGUAGUAUUGUUCACCGUAAAAGAGCUCUAGAAGAAAUGGUGGUUAUGAAGCGAAAGGGAAUAGUAGUAUACAUCAAAUAACACGAUUUUGGCUCAUUGCCCAUAACUAAUGCUUAUAUACGUCUUUGUUUCUUAUGUACAACACUUGCUAAUUUCACUUGUUAUUCUACAAUUAACUCUGCUUUCCUGCCACAUCUACCUACCUCUCUAUAUAAUGCGUCAUUCUAUGAUCUCUGCGUCAUUACUCGGUUCUCCUUUAUAUCAACUGGUAACUUCACAUGGAAGAUAUAAAGCUAUUUUUGUUUUUUGAGUAGAGAAGAUGCAAUAUGAGAAUACUGCGUACAGUACGUAGAAGAUAUAAAUGUUGACGAGGAGAAGAGAACAUAUAGGAGGCCGCAAAAAGUGAGACAGCUCAAGUUCUAAUUUGUCAUCCAGAUGUAUACAUAGUUGACAGAUCGACUUGUUAUGCAAAUAACAGGCCACGUAUAGGAGAGGAUGGCAACGUUUGAAAUGAGAGGCAUUAGGAAAAAUCAAGGGCCUAUGAUGUGCAGAGUGCAACCUGUAGGUUUAGGAACUCGUGCUUCUCUCCCCUGGAACAAUUCUGACUCACAACUAUAAGAUCUAGCGUACCGCGAGGAGAAGACGACGGACUCUGUCACUGCGACUCUCCUGGCGAGCAUUUAUAUAUUCUAAGGUUUCGGGAUCGAGCUUGCAUGAGAUUCGGCUUGGGUAUGGUGUCUCACCUGGAAGGGAAACGGGGUACUCUAACGUUAUAGAUACGUAUCACCGGAAACUUUGAGCAAAGAGGUCACCGAUCGUUACCCCAAGACGCGCAGCGCAGCGGAGAGUUGGAGCAGCCGGUCCAUGUAAAUGCGCAUCGAUGUAGAGGAAGUAGUCAAUCACGAUCGUCUCCUCAUCCUCUCACCAACAGCCACCUCACACCGUCGUAGCUGCAGCACAACAGCAACAUCAGCAGCGCCUCCAUGGAGUCCACACGUACGGGGAAGGAACGUCGUGCGCCGGUGUGCUAGCACUGCGCGCUCGGCAGGGGUCUCAGGGUCAGGCCAAGAGGAAGUGGCGGCUAGGGUUGUGGCAUGGUGGAUUAGUGCGCCCCUAGCCCCACCCCUCAUAUUUAUAGAGCACACUAAUAGGCUUCUAGUCUGAAGGCCUAUUAGUUACCCUAAUCCCUCAUGGAUCAAAUGUUCUAUGGGCCUUUAAUCCGAAUUGUUAUGAUUGCCUCUUGGGCACAUCACCAAAAAUCUCCCACUUGCAUCACAGACAAUCAUAUAGGCAAGUUCUUCCAAUAUUCAAACCCUUAAGUGUGUGACCUGUUAGGUUCAUGUACAAAUGGCUGUGAACGAAAACCGCUUCUGAAUCACAAGUAAGCAGCGGUACCUAGCAGGACACUCUCGAAUGUACAUAAAGAUCUUAUCGACCUCGACCGAACCUAGUUACAUUCAUUCACAUACUAAUCCCUUUGCCACACGAUACCAGUCAGACUCAAGGUGAGAUAUGUGCUACCCUUGUGAUAGCUCCACCAUUCACUUGAUCAAAUAGCACUAACCUUUAAUCAUCAUGAUUAACUCUUUAAUCAUAUUGGCAUGGUCGUGCACUUUCCAAUCCAACUAUCUCGAGGGGCCUAGAGAUAUCUCUCCUGUUAUUUAGGAGGGGCAAAUUCCAUAUUGAUCCACUCACAUCACAUUCUAUAUUUCAUGAUACACCUGGAGACUACUUUUGUAACUAUCCAGUUGUCAGUGUUUAGACCCGACAACCUACCGAGAGGUACCCGAGGUAGUGUUUUAUGUGUGGAGCUCACCGAGAUCAAGAACUCGAUGAUGAACUUGAACACACGAUUUAGACAAGUUUGGGCCGCUUAUGUCGCAUAAUACCCUACAUCAUGUGUGUUGGUUGUGUUGUAUUAAUUGAACUUGUUUGGAGGGGGUCCCUGCCUCAUCUUAUAUUACCGGGGGUAGGGUUACAGGUUGGUUGUUUACAAGAAUACUCGUCAGAUUCGACUAGAGAGUCCUAUUCUAAUUGCUACGAGUAGUUUCCUAAUCCUCGACUAGUUCUUGUCCUCCAUGUAGACCAUGCCAUCCUACACCGUAGUCUCCAUGUUUGACACAUCUCAGUGAACAGUCCCAUAUUGUAGGACUGUCCAAACCUUCUAGUGGACCCAUAUAUGUAUGGACGACAAGCCUUCAAGUACUUUUUAGUCAAAUGUAGCAGUCCCGAGUACUUCUGUAGACAUCUCCAACUAGUUUGUGGUGCUCUUUGAGUACUCCAUCGGAUUGAGUCUUUGAAAGAACUCGAGUACUGCUAUGUGGCUAGAAUGUGCUCAAGUCUCAUAACCUCAUUUAACUUGGUCUUGAAUUUUCAACCUUGAAUUUUAUAUGGAAGUACGAUGAAAAUCGCACUCCAUAUGGAGUAGCCCCCGAGCCUUAGGUUGAAUCGAAGAAUCAGGCUAAGGGUCAAUCUUGUAAUUUCACAUCUCUUUUACCUUAAAACCCAAAGAAAAACUUUUUAGCCGAUGGGCACAUGGCACACAGCCCUCGAGCCGUUACACGACUAGUUUGGAUAUAAGGGUCAACCACUGGUAAACGUGACCGUUCACCAACAGUAACCUUAUCUCUUUCAGAGAAAAUUUGGAAACUGCUAGCAAUAACUUUGGGCGUUUGAAAAACAUAAUAUUCCCGUUAAUCUCACCCCGAUUUAAUUGUGCCGCGGUUAUAAAUAAUGGAGUAAUUCAUUCUUUCUGUUUCACCUGAGCCAUUCUGCCCGUUCAUCUUCCUCACUGUAGCCCUCGCACCGCUGCUUGUGAUCCUUUGAGCUUUGAGUGCCAUCCUCCCCCACCGCUUAGCCCCCGAGCACUACACUUAGAUCCAGUUCUUUCAUGCAUGAUGAUUAUAUCUACAAGUGAUUCUACAUCCCUAGGACAAGCAUUUUAUCUAUCUUAUUUACAUUCAUACUCUCUACCUGUUUUAAUCUAGGUCACUAGUUCUUUUGUUAGAUCAAUCUUAUCAUAUACAAAGAACCUUCAGUUACAUAGAUUAGCGCUUAGUUAAGCGUGCAAAUCCAAUUGUUCCACGGAUUGAUAAUACUUGGGGGAUUACUCUAAGGGAAGAACUACAACUGAUAUAUACGCUUGCGGUUCAUAAAUUGACGUGCUAAUUGCUGUUAACAAGCUUUUUUGGCGCCGUUGCUGGGAACAAGUCAAUUUUGCUACGUUUAACUUUAUAUUAAUUUUUGUUAAUCUCUAACACCUAACUUUUUCUCUAGAAAAUAAAAUCUUUGUUUUUAUUUUUGGUGUCUAGAUGGCUCUAAUCAAUCACUACAAGGAGGAAGGAGAAAAGUCGCUAAGGGACUAUGCAAUUCCAUUAACCGAUCAAUUUGACAUGUAGAAAUCCGACUUAGUGCUUGCAGCCAAGGAGUACAUCUUGGAUAAAUGGAUAAUUGACAUGGCUCGAAGCAAUCCUUUCCAAGGAAAUCCAUAUAGACACAUUGAGCGAUUCACGAUGCUAUGCAACACACUACAAUAAGAUGAAAUUCCGCUAGCUUGGUUUAGGUGGAAUUUAUUCCCGUUUUCACUUGCAGGUGAACCGAGACGAUGGUAUGCAGAAGUUUCUUUCGAUGCGAAGGGAAAUUGGGAGACACUAACGAUAAAGUUUUGUGAGAGAUUUUUCUCUGUUAGCAAACUUCAGAACCUUCGGAAGGAAGUGAUCAUGUUUGUGCAAGGAAAUGAUGAAGAAAUAGAUCAAGCUUGGGACAAAUUCAACAGACUACUCGAACAAAAACCUAAACUUGGAUUCUCGAGUGAUGUGUUGUUGUAUACAUUUUACUUUUCACUAACCUAAAAUACCGGGGCAAAACCCGCGGCUAGGAAGGUCCCCGCUGAUUGGCUUAGGAAUAAACAAUAUAUGCAUACCAGUAAAUAAAUGGCUAAUAUGAUGCUAUUAUGCUCCGUCCUUUUGCUGGUGAUGCCCAAGACUAUUAAUAGAAUAUUCUGGUUCGUUGGCACUCAUAGCCUUCAUCCGGAUAUUAUGCUAUGGUUGGGGAUGAGAGGCGUCCGGGAUUGUAGAUUCGCAUUGUUUCAAGAUGCAUGGGCAGACGUCAUCAGACCGGCUAUUUCUCCUGUCCGUCUGCCGUCUUUCUAUGCCAGUAGCGUGCCAAGCCCCAUCUCACCAGCCUCCUACGCAGAGUUGGAGCUUAGGAUUGAUGCAUGGCAGCAUCCUUUGAAAAAAGCCUUAGGAGUGGUGCAUGGUGAUCUGGGGCUGAUCCAUUGCUAGAGAGUCUCCCACCUUUCAAUCUGUUUUGUCUGGCAACAGCCCACCGCUCGAAUUGGAAAUCAAGAUGCACUGGACGGUCAGGUUCUGCAGCAAGUGCAAAGCCUACGGCAGGAAAAUAGACUAGUACCCACAUGACAAUAACACUUUAUGAAUGGCAUUCUUCAAUUAAUGGUGUUUCAUUACAUAUGCUGUAAGCAAAAAAUUUCAUUCUGCUUACAAAUUUUCAAAUCACUAUGCCACUUUAAAUUUGUCGGAGUGUUUAGUUUGCAGGAAUUUUGUGUCACGUUGCAUGAAAACACUCACUUUGCAUACACCUUAGAUGUUCAAAGUUUUAGUUGGGAUCCAUGCAUUGAUCACUUUCUACUAAAAACAACACCCAUAUAAGGCAUAAAACCUGCCUGUCUGCAAUCUUUCUAUUGUCCCGUGACUCGGAGCUGCACGAUCCGUUCUCCAUGGUCCUACUAGUUUACCCUGCUUUGGCUUGACCAACUUCCAUGGUCCUAUUCCCAACAUGGGCCUUCUUUACCACAUCCGAACACAUGGAAAUAAAGUAGAAAGUAAUGUGUUUCAAAAGUUUGAAUGUUCAAAAAAUAUAUCCACAAACUGUGCCCCAUCCACUUCCUAUAGCAAACUUGUAUAGUUGUUCCGUUGCACUUAGCUGCAAAAGUAGUAGUGAUGAAGGGAAUAUAAUUUAAAGUGAAAGUAUAUUCUUUGGAAAAUGUGGAGGGUGUUUGAGAUAUUACAGGACAAACUUUCAAAGUUAAGAGUGCACACUGUUUUUAUUUAGCUCGCAAUAACUUUCAGCUACCAAGGCACAUCUACUUGCGGGUGUCAAUUGUGGACUUGAUUCAUGGAGUUAGGGCCUGUUUGGUUCACAGGGAGUUAAACUUUAGCUCUUAUCACAUCGGAUGUUUAGAUACUAAUUAGGAGUAUUAAAUAUAUGCUAAUUAUAAAACUAAUUGCACAAAUGGAGGUUAAUUCGCGGGACGAAUCUAUUAAGUCUAAUUAGUCCAUGAUUUAACAAUGUGGUGCUAUAGUAACUAUUUGCUAAUUGUGGAUUAAUUAGGCUUAAUAGAUUCGUCUCGCGAAUUAGCCUAGGGCUUCUACAAUUAGUUUUAUAAUUAGCUCAUGUUUAGCCUUUUUAAUUAGCAUCCGAACAUUCGAUGUGACAAGUAUUUCAGAUCCAUUAAGCUACAUUAAGCUAGUGGAGUACAAAAUAAUUUUUCCGUCAUAAUUACUUUUGUUUACUUCGUUAACUGCACAGUCUGUAAACAUCCAUCACUUUUGGAGACUCAGCUUGUACAGCUCUCCUUUUACUAUAAAUAAAAAAAACCGAAGAGCUAGUCCUACAUACUCUGAUCCUACUUGUAUAGCUUCACUGUAACUUUACACGCCUACUAUACUUAUCACAGAUAGCACACAAUAUUUUUGCUUUUCAGAUAUUGGCCAUCUAUAUAACUCCCACACUUUUUUUUUUACCAUAAAACUGUGGGGGAUACACUCAUGCACCCGGACAAAAUAAGCAGCUAGUAGGUACAACCCGGCCUGAUGAGCGUUGCAAUCCUAAGCUAGGUAAAAGAAAAACAGGCAUAGUCAGCUUUUGCAAUAGGAUAGGCAUGAGGGACAUCGAGGAAAUAACAUUCUCACUGCAACUGGUAGAGGGACCAGAAGGAAAUAGGGAAUUUACAUAGUAGGCUAUUAUCAGAGGUUGUACCAUACAACUCUGUGUAAAAGAAAUUAAACAUGCGACAAAACAGUGUUGCAGUCCCAAUGUCAGUGGUUACCGUGAUCAUACUUAUCACCACCAUCCUGCAGACUGCCUAAACUAUCUUGAGUUUCUGGCUCUACACCGGAAACUAGCAAUCGCAGGAUCGAGAGAAAUAUAUUUGUGGUUUCUAAUAUUUAUAUGUGUAGUAAGCAUGUAACCUUUAUAUGUCAACUAGUGAUUACAAUUUUGUUAAUGAAAUUAUAGUGUUUAAUGGGUGUGCUUUUUGAACAAUUACUUCGCAUCUACACUAUCCAGAUUUACGGGUCUUACAAUAACCUUCUUUCUCAGAAAUUUUCACAUCCUAUCAGCAAAACAAAUGAUCCCAGUCAUCAGUUCCACUUGUUUCAUUUCGGCUUCACUAGUUUUCCACUUACCUGUAAUACAGCAUCUGCCACUAGACUGUACAUAUUGUUAUCGCAUAUUUUCUGUAGAAAACCUCGCUUGCAUUUUACAUGAACAGACAUUCAGCCUGUACAGCUCUUCCUUUUAUGACCACCUACUAUAAAUUUACACCUACUUACUAGCUUUACUGUAAAUUUACACCUACUAUAACCACCACAGCUUGCACGCAGUAUUAUUGCCUUUUCGGAUAUGUUAUAUAACUUCCAUGCUCAUCCAGUCAAACACAAUGAUGUUAUAGACUAAUAAGCAGCUAAGUAUUAUUCAUGUGUGCAGCUAAGUUGAUACAGCACACAUGAAUGGGAUGGGAAUGAGAGACAUCGCUGAAAUAGCAUUCUCAAAGUAAUAAACUGUGGCAUUAGUUAGGUAAUAGGGAAUUUACACAAGCCUGCAAAUUGCCGGAGAAUUGAAACAUCUGACAAAACAGUCUCGGGCUCCCAACAUUGACUAAUUCAUGGGGUCAAUGAGGUUCAAAGAUGGUGCUACCAAAUAAUAAAACCCAUCAAGACCAAAGGGCGAACAGAAUGAAGUUGAACGAUUCACUUCUUCAACUCUGCCAUCAUCUCUUGUUCAAAGUUGAGUAUCCUGUUAAAGAUUACUGACCCUGGAACGUGCCUUGACAACUAAUUUAAUCCAGGCACUUGUAGUAUAGAUAGUGGCCUUGCGUUACUUGUGAUAUGUGCAGUCCUGCUAUUCAUUCAUUUUUUUAAUUUAGUGGAUAAAUAUUAAAGAUGGUGUCAACCCGUAAUAUUAGUUCGUCCACUUUCAAGGUCAUUCAGUGCAAUUUGAUGCUCAAAUGAAGGACAGAAUUCUGGUUGAAGGCUUCACCCGGUACUAAAGUACCAAUUGGAGGCUUCAACCGGUACUAAUUGUCAAUCUUUAGUACCGGGUGAAGCCUCCACCCGGUACUAAAGGCCCUCACGGGGGCUUCUCGGAGACUAGCCGUUAGGCCCGGUACUAAUGCUCACAUUAGUACCAAACCAAAAUGCAACCGGUACUAUGGGCUAGGACGAAUGCUCAAUUUUCUAGUAAUGGAAUAUGCAACAAAAACUGCUGGUCCACUUAGGUGUAAAUGUAAUAAAAAAAUCACCCACCUACUACUAUUUAUUUACGCACUCAAUCCUCCCAACUUAUGAACCACUCUAUAUAUAUGGUGCGGGCGCCGGACGGAGGUGGUGGGGACGGGCCAAGCACCGGGCUGAGGCGGGAGGAGGGCGGAGGGACGGCAGGAGGCCGGCGAGGCGGAGGCGGCGGCAGGGGAGGAGGGGGCGGCGGGGAGG